UUUCGUCUAUUACUUCGCCAAUUUUUUUUUUUUGUAAAUAUGCAUAAUUCUAUCCAUGUAAGCAUGUCUUUCAUUCAUACAGGUUUCAGACGCUAGACUGACUUAUAUGUCGCAAAACUCUUAAACAACAAAUUCUGACUGUUACUACAAGUAAAACCAUACUAAUCUUUAUAAGGAAAUUAUGAGAUGGAUAACAGUAAUCAUCUUUAUAAUUGCCAUUACUGAUACAAGGUAAAAUACUAUCAAUCAACUUGCAAUAUUUCAAAUUUCAAGAGGUUAUAGCUCACUGUGAUAACUAUUAUACUCUCUGAUGCUGUUCACCAGGCUCUGGCAUCGUAUAUCAAAUCUUGAAAACAUAACAUUUUAAUGUCCUAGCACAUUAAACUAGGGGUAAGCAAAGAAACCCGGAACUAAAAAAAGAAACAGAUUUUUCCAUUUUCAUUUUAAGUUGUCUUGUUAACGAAGACCAAGAAUUCUAUAACAUACUAUUAUAACUGAACAUAAGUAUAAUUUGUAGCUUGGUUAUCCCUGACAAUGGCAGUCGGAUCUUCUUGCUUGAAUAGAUAACAACCAUUAGAUAUUAUACCAAAGAAUAUUCCAUAUUUGACAAAUUAAGAUACUAUUAAUGGGUUUGAGUUCAAAUCCCGUCAAUGUCAUUAUUAAAAUAUAAUUUUAUAUUAUUGUUUUCCAUAAACAAUUAUAUAGGAUUCUGCAGUGAACCACAGCCUCACACUAUAAUAUUAGCACCAAACACGCAAUUACACAAUAGUUUACUGAUAAUACUGAAAGGUAGACUGAAUUUAAAGAUAAGUGCCACACUUCGAGAAGCGACGAACUCCCACAAAUCCUAAGCGUUUGAUUACAAAACAUUUGAUAAAAUCCUCCCCCCAUACUCACACCCUUAUCUAAACGCUUCUACAUUAUUCUUUAAUUAGUAUAUUACUAUUCUGCCCUUCAUCCCCACAUUCUAUGGUUGUAUUUAACUAAUCUUCUUGUUGGAUUUCGGACUACACCUCCUGCUGUAUGUUAUGGGGUGGUCUCUUGUUGGAUUUGGGCCUACACCUGGUUUAUGUUGUGGGCUGGUCUCUUGCAGAUUCAAAUAUCAUUAAUCACAUACGUAUUUAAUUUUAUAUAAUGGCCAGUGCAUCGCAGGAUUUUUAAGCUGGUACAUACUAAUAUACUAAAACUAUUCAUUUACAUUCUAAUGCUUAAAGUAUUGACUUGAUUCAUUCUUGAACAAAAAAUAGGUAUUUACCUGUUUAAGCCAUGCACGGAUCAGAGCAAGGAUAGCUAGGGAGAGAAGAAAAGCUGGUAAAGCAGCUAGAACUGCAAAGUUUAUCUCAUUAGCCCUAAGUAUCUGGUCCAAUUCUAGCAACGCCCUGUUCAGUAUGUGAAUAUUUUACACAAAGGAUGCAUAGCUUAAACAUCAAUCACAAAACUGAUCUUACCAAUGAGAAAUAAGAAUAACAGAGGUACUUACGUUUCAAUAUCAAGUUUUAGCUUUUGAAUCUGUCAAGGCAAAAGAUAUUGUCAGAUGCAAGUACUACCACUAGUUAGAGACCAAAAUCCAAUACCAUUCAAACCUGGAUAAGUAUAGCACGAACAAGCUCCCCUUUUAGAAGAUUCUGAAUGGGAUGCAUAAGCUCCUUUUCAUAUCUAAGUAAAAAAAACCAUUUACACAGGAAAAAGAAACGACAUAUGACCACUUAUUCAACAAAAACACAGCCACAGUGGAAAUACAAAUCAUUUAAUAUAAAAAGAAAAAUACAAGGAAAAAACAAUUAACAAAAAUGAUGAGAGAAAUACUCGACUAUCGAAGAGAGAAACAUAUACUAGGAGAAAACGCUGCAAUACAUUUUUCGUGGAACCAGAUAAGAGAAGAGUCAUUUUGAAUUGUGUGUUCAUAAAUUGCUAAUUUUUAAAACUUUACUUGAUAAAUGCUCCACUUGAAAUAUUUUUGGUCAACUGUGGAGUAAUUUCCAUAUACGUGAUUAUUACUACGACCAAAACUCAAUGAAGAAUCUUUAUAGAACUUACUAUGGAUUGAGCACAUGUUUUAGAAAUGCUACAACAAUUAGCAAAGGCUUUUGGCUAAAAGUAGUAAAUUAUAAUAUAUAAUUUAUAACAUUAAAAGAGCAUGAUAAGAGUGACAACAGACAGUAAUCACAUUUUAAGAGUGGAUGAAAUAUUUUGUAAAUAGUCAGCAAAAUAAAAAAAAAAAAGAAUAAAACUUUAUAGAGAUUCAAAAGCUAAAAAAUUAAGACAAAGUUGUUUACGAACUAACCGAUAUACAAUUAACAAGGCACAAUUUCAUCAUUUACUACUCAUAUCCAUGAAAGACCAAUAAAAAAUAGACAUUCUCAUAAUUGGGCACUUAAUGAUUAGGUAAUAUUGUUAUUUCACACUUUACAUGCACCAGGAACUGCAGUUUUCACUUGAAACCAACUUCAGCAACAGUCAGCAACAUUGAUAGGGACUACUUACAUGAACUAUUAAUAGAAAAUGUUGCUGACUCUUGCGGAAGUUGAUGAUGCUGAUGCUUAUAUCACCACAGCGGUGACACCACAACUCUUCUAUGAGGCAUUAAUAUCAAGGGAAGUCAGACCCUUUGUCAAGUUUUUCUGCUCAUGACAGGUUCGGGUGUUAAAUACUCCCUCCGGUCCAUUUUAUAAGUCAUUUGACUUUUGUUCAUAUAUUUUCACGAGCCUUGACUCGAUAGUUAAAAUUAAUAUUCUUUAAUUUUGUUUUUCUGAAUAAAAGUUUAAUACGUAAAUUAUGAUUGAGAAAAAGAAAAUUUAAAAAUAUUUUUUUUUUCUAUAGAUUCAAAGCUUGUGGAAAUACGUGACAAAGUAAAACAGACUUAUAAAAGAGACCAGAGGGAGUAUGUUAUUACAAUCUCCCUUUUCACUUAAUUAUAAUUCCUAUAGCUUCAAGUUCAUAUUAUUGUUAUUAUGUAAAUUCAAGUCAAAAGUGAGUUUUAUUCUAAUCCAAAAUUCAGCAAGGUUUCAAAAAUAAAUCAUGCAUAACAUAUAGGUACAACACAAGAUAAAAUGACAAACCAAAGUAAGAAAUGAAUACAACACAAACUAAAAUAAAUGAAGUAACACAUUUUAGACUACAAGAAAAUAUCUAGAGAAGAUAAACUAAAUAGAUAUAUACAGUACACUCAAACCGUGUUCUUAUAAUUAAUACCACCAAAGGUAGCACGUGAAUGAAGAUGAUUAAACCACAACCAAAAGUGACAUGAGAAAGUAAAUUCAGUGUUAACAAAUUCCCAAGCUUAUGCACACCAAUAUAUCUAUAAAUUAAAUUACGUAGCAACAUCUCAGAAAAGGUUUAUCACCUAGCCAUCAUGAUUUCCAGCAAUUCUUGAUCAGAAGCAUUAUCUGGAAACUUUUGACCUUGAGUCUGCUCGCUGAAAGCCAGCAACAUUCUGCAAACAGGCCAUGCAUAUACGUCAAGGUCCUAAUUACUUGAAUAAGUGCAUGCACUGUUGCAGGACUAUGGAUUGACAUUGUGCGCAAAGCAUUGUAAAAAAAAACAAGCUUUUCUUGCUCUUGGCUCAAGUACACUGUUAGAGCAAGCUUUCUAUUCCCAGGCAUAUGACUUUGGCCAAGGAAGGAAAAAUUAACAAAAUGACAUGUUAAUGUGAACAUUAAAAUGUUUUGAAAGAUGACUCCAUAUGCAUUUUGCAAUACAUAGUGACCAAUUUAGACAAAACAUAUUCAUAUUAAAAAGCUGUUCUUAGCUAUUUGGUAUGUGGGAGAUUACAAUAUUUGCAUAGAUAAUAAGAAUAAACCUAGCUUGGAAAGCAUAACAGCUAAAUUCUGUUGCCUAGCAUCAGUUUGAGUAUUCUUUACAAUGAACACACUUUUCAUUACUCUUUGCAUCUGAAUUGGCGUUCUUAAAGAAGAGAAAAAAAAAAUAUUUGUUCCCCUUUGUUCAUAUACAUGGUUCUCACAUAAUCCUAUUUACAGUAUCGAGACUUUGUUUUCUCCACAAGAAGAAAAUGACGAGGAACACAAAUAAAUGUCGGAAAAAAUUAUUUUAUCAUUUUUAUUAUUAGGUUUCUGUUUACUUGCAAGAUAAAAUUUAUGUUUUGCAAUUGUGAGGAGUCAGGAAAGUUAGGUUUAUAUUGAUUUUUGCAUUCUUAUUCAUAAAUAUUAUACGUUGUGUUUAUUUAUUUUACUUUCAGAGCUCAGUUACAUUUAAUUUCCAAAUAAGUAUCUCAAUUCCCCACAUAUAGAAAUGAAGCUGAUAAAAACAAAGUUAUUCGGACUUAGUUUUCUUCAGUUCGGUCAAGGGACUGGUCAACAAUACCUGACCGGUCCUGAACCAGUCCUCAAAAGACAGGUCCUUCAAUCAGUCCUAAACCAGUCCUCACUAGUCAUUAACUAGUCUUUUGAAUAUUUAUGUUUAUAUAUAAUCAAACAAUUGUCAUUUACAGAACUUUAUACAAUCUCGCACACUUGCUUAAUCAUGAUUCUAAUAGGCCAAGGGUGGACUCGAACAAUAGGAAGCUGCUUAGUCUUAUCCGACAGUCUAAUCUCCUUGUACAGCAGCAUGCUUUGAUUAUAAGAAAACAAUAAAGGGGUUCGAUUUAGACUCUUCCCUUCCUAUUGCAUAGCUGUGCGCUAACAGGUACUAAAGCCCUGUCCCAAACUAGCAAACUCUCAUUUGUUCUUUGACGGAGGGUUGAACCCUCGACUUUAAGUUACAUGUUUAAGAUUAAAGACAGAUACAAGAAAGAUCUGUUCCACAUCGGUUAUUCUAAAGAUUCACAGAAUGGCUCAUGACCGGUUAUUCCUCCUUUUUGUUCAUCUCAGAACUGUUGCUAGUACUUUUGAGAUGUGGGUAGUUUUAGAAGAAGAUAAGAUUUGAGAUGUGGGAUUAUUAUAAAAGAUGGGUCUUACGUUUAUGUAUGCUUAUAGUAAGUUUAAUUUGACUUUAACUAUUUUAUCAUCAUUAUUACUAACACAUUCUAUAUUUAUUGCCACUCCAUUGCUUUAAAUUUGAGAAAUUAGUGUAAGCAUAGCAUAAUUUAUUAAAUCCAGUUUCGUGUAGGUGCAACUAAUUGAUGGUACAGGCAUAGGCAAAGGAUAUCCAACUCUGUUUGAAACUCAUCCAGAUGCAUGAUCCAUUACAACAUACAAAGUAAGGAGUCGUGGAGACAUAAAAUUAAUAUGCUGCCAAUUUUUUUUAAAACAUGAUGGCAUUUUGCAUUCUGCAGUGACACGAUCUUGUUUUUUAUGUGGACAAUGAAUCAGGGAGAAAAAACUAAAUAUUAUAUUUAUAAAAAAAAAAAAAAGAGGAGGUGCCCCCUCAAAAACAUAACCUACCUGUGCAAAGAGUUAGUAGUUAGCUUCACCUCCUCAAGCUCCAUAACACCUUUGUGUCUCUUUCUAAAUGUGUCAAAAAGCUCAUCUCGUAUGGAAAGAAGCUGGUAAAGAAGCACCAUUAGAGUAAAUUCUAUGACUAUUUAUCAUCAACUUAUUUUAGUGUGCCUUGUAUAUAGUUAAGCAUGCAUGUGACGACAUCUGAGCGCGGGGGGGGGGGGGGGGGGUUNNNNNNNNNNNNNNNNNNNNNNNNNNNNNNNNNNNNNNNNNNNNNNNNNNNNNNNNNNNNNNNNNNNNNNNNNNNNNNNNNNNNNNNNNNNNNNNNNNNNNNNNNNNNNNNNNNNNNNNNNNNNNNNNNNNNNNNNNNNNNNNNNNNNNNNNNNNNNNNNNNNNNNNNNNNNNNNNNNNNNNNNNNNNNNNNNNNNNNNNNNNNNNNNNNNNNNNNNNNNNNNNNNNNNNNNNNNNNNNNNNNNNNNNNNNNNNNNNNNNNNNNNNNNNNNNNNNNNNNNNNNNNNNNNNNNNNNNNNNNNNNNNNNNNNNNNNNNNNNNNNNNNNNNNNNNNNNNNNNNNNNNNNNNNNNNNNNNNNNNNNNNNNNNNNNNNNNNNNNNNNNNNNNNNNNNNNNNNNNNNNNNNNNNNNNNNNNNNNNNNNNNNNNNNNNNNNNNNNNNNNNNNNNNNNNNNNNNNNNNNNNNNNNNNNNNNNNNNNNNNNNNNNNNNNNNNNNNNNNNNNNNNNNNNNNNNNNNNNNNNNNNNNNNNNNNNNNNNNNNNNNNNNNNNNNNNNNNNNNNNNNNNNNNNNNNNNNNNNNNNNNNNNNNNNNNNNNNNNNNNNNNNNNNNNNNNNNNNNNNNNNNNNNNNNNNNNNNNNNNNNNNNNNNNNNNNNNNNNNNNNNNNNNNNNNNNNNNNNNNNNNNNNNNNNNNNNNNNNNNNNNNNNNNNNNNNNNNNNNNNNNNNNNNNNNNNNNNNNNNNNGGGGGGGGGGGGGGGGGGGGGGCUUUUAUGUACUUAAAGUAAAUUUUGAAUUUUCCCCUACAUAUAUAUAGCACCAUCCAGAAUACAUUCUAUAAUAACAUAUUAUAAUUGACAUUCCUGGUGGAGAACAGAAAAUCAAAUUCGAGCAUACUCAUGAGUCAUGACUAUACGCAGAAACAGCUAAAUAUCAUAAUAAAAAAGUUGACAGAUCUAACCGGCUUUUCAACAUGGUCACUAAAAAAGCUAACAGUUGAAUCCUUGGCCUCACGAAUCCAAUGCUCAAUAUCAUGACUCCCCGUCAAUUUGCUAUGUCGUAGAAGCCAAGCGGAACAGACUGAGAUGCCUAAAAUGCCACAUGCAUAUCUCAUCCAGUACAGUGUUACUUUUCUCGGUUUUUGAUGUUCUGACACCUAAACAUAGGUGACAGUAGAUAGUCAAUAAUUCAAUGAAGAGAUGCACAGAACUGGAGUGACCAAAAACUGGGCAAGAUAUUCACAAACUGUAGUUUGAAAUGAAUUAUUCAAUGAGAAGUAGCCAUGUCACUAUAUCUCUAAAAAAGGCAAGUUAGCAUAUACAAAACUUUAGUGCAAAUGGAAGUCAAAUGUCUAAAACUCAUUAACUUUAGCAGCCGAAAUCAAACAGAUAGGGCCACAUAGAAAUUAAAUGUCUCUGUCACUGUAUCUCUGUGUGAGAAAGAAAGACUAGAUAAGAGUGGGAACUCGAGAAUCCCGAGAAGGCUUAGUUUCAUCAAGACAACCCAUAACUUUGGUGAAAAGUUUGUGCAUUCCUAAAUUAGCAACUUCACAAAUUAACUAUUCAGUGUAAAGUUCAACUACUAAACAUUACUUUCAUACUUCAUUCAAAUCAAACAGGAUUUCGCAUUCAUAAUGUAUGCCCAUAAAUCACUGUUGGAAAAUCGUUGAUCCAUGACCAAGAAUGUGACGAUCUUUUUCCAACUAGUAACAGCCCGCACGUAAGUUGAAAUCGGAAAGACCAUCAGUGAAGUGUGUCAAUGAGUCACAGUUUAAGUACACAAUGCAAAUUUGAAAGCACAAAAGUCACACCCUCCUGCUUGACUUUACAGCCAAGAAUGUAAUGACAAAUAUGAGCAAAACAGCAUUUCAUUUUAGUGUUAAUAUGGUAAGGGUUUGUCUAGUGUGUGCCCAAGGGCACAUGCUAAGCACUAACAUUUAUAAAAUUGGAGGGAUUUGAUUGGUGUGGUUGUUGUAAAUGCAAGGGGGGCCAUCAUUAUUAAAGAGUGUAAGCCAAUCAAAAUCUCCCAAAUUUAUAAGUUUUAGUGCUUAGUGUGUGCCCUUGGGCACACCAUAGAAAAACCGAUAUGGUAAAUAGAAGAUUAAACAGCAUGUUAUUCAGAGUGUAUUCAGUUAUCUUGCUAACAUAAUACACUAAACUUUAACACAAAUUCUUUCGAACUGUUUAAAGUAAGCUUCUAUUAAAUCUGCAUGAGCAUACACCGACAGGAUAUGAUACAAACUACCAUUAAAGUGAAAAGAACGGAGAAGAAAAGUUGCAUUCUAAAUUUAGAGGAAAUAAAGAAUAUGUGAAAUUUAAAAGCUAGAAUAAAUAGAACCAUGUAGUUUUUGAUAGAAUGUGAAAUUUAAAAAGUAAACAGGGUUACAUAAGCACUGGAAGUGGUCCUUGAUAGAUCAGGGGUAAGGUUGUGUACAUUGGGACCUUCACCAGACCUACUGAUGUGGUUUGCUGCACUGGGUACGAAAUUCUUUUCACAAGUACACAAGGAGAAAGAUAGAAUUCUGUCCACAUUCCAAUUAAAAGUGUAGAAAACAAUUAUAAUUUCCAAAUUUGGCAUAUGCAUGCAGUAAAAUCUUCCCAUUACAUUGACGUUCAAACAGGAACAGAGGUGGCUAUGGUUUGAGCAUAUAUUUUCUCACAAGACAACCAGAGAAGAAAGAACAACAUAGUUUGUACUCCAUUUUUAAAUUUAGCCUCCUAAUAUAUAGGGACAAACUUUAAACUUUCUCUAACAUAUAUUUUUUUAUUGUGUCAGCAUGUCCAGUUGACAAUACAUGUGGAUGUAUAAACUGUGAGUUUUAUGCUAUAAAUAUUAUGUCAGAUUCAAUCUGUUGAUUGUCAUAUCUAAAUUACAGCAUAGACUUGAAAUGCUCACUAAAUCAUGACUAAUGAAAUGAAUUGCUUGUCUAUAUCCGUAUCCCCAGAUUUUAGAAUUUAACAAAUUUUACUUUUAAGUACCAGCACCAAUUCACAUACAAGUUCAUGACACAGAUUAUAAAUGGUAAUAUAUUGUAUCCGUGUGCAUGUAAAUGUAAAUGUAGAAAGCAAGUAACAUGCUAUCUUGACAUGUUUGUUUACAAAAAUUGUCAAAACUUAUUAUUCAGAGGACAAUGCUUGCAGUGAUGCAGUAAGCUAUGCCACCGGCCUUUACAUUCUAUAAUAUCCUUAUCAAAUAGAUUUUUGUACCAGGUUCCAGAUACUAGAAUACUGAGAUGCACUUCAAGCAAACUUAUUUAUAUAACAAAAAGAAACAGUCCUGGUGCCAACAAACUUAAAAGGCUGAGAUAGAGCUCUUACAAGCACCGAUAAGUAUGAGUCCAAUUUGUGUAGGUUCUGAUAGAUCAAUUCGACGGCAUCUUUUAUCUCACUGCCAGUCCACUGAGAUCCUUCCUGCAUUACUUCCGACAGUUUCUCAAACCUUAGGGGAACCGAACAACUUCCAUCAACAGAAGACCCAUUCUGCAGAAACCAAUUGUAUGUAACGAAGUUUGUUAAUCUUAUAUAAACGAUACUAUCGACUGUUUUAACCACUUAAUGCAUCAUUUGAUGUUUCACGUUCUUUAGAAUUUAGACUACAAAGGUAAUCAUGUACAAAACUGGGAAAAACAAUAUUGAAUGUAAUAUGAAAAAAUAGCAUAUCAUAUGUUCACUACCUGUGGUGGAGCAUAAAGAUGAGCUAUUGAAGCCUCUAAUUUUGAAAAUAAACCAUCCACGGUUAACAAUAACAAAGGUCCAGACUUUUCUGCAUCCUUUGCUAACUCAUCCCCAAAUUUGUCAAUUUCUAUGUAAAUCUGCACAACGUAAGGACCGUAAUUUAAAAUAAUCCAAAAAUGAUUACUUAAUUAGAUAUCCCAAAAACACAGAUUAAAGAAUAGUCAAAUCUCUAUACUACCACUCAUUAAGGGCAGAUAGUUCUGACACCUUGACAAUCUAAUUUAGAAAAACGAAUUUCUAAACACAUAAUGAGAAACCAAUAUUUUACAUGAUUUUUCCCUGAUUCUGUUAGAUAUAAUAUCUUGUGUAGUCUUUUCAAUAAGAAAUUGCAAACUCAAAAGAACAUAGGAGUUAAAUCACACAGACACACAUAUAUGCCUUGCCACUCCAUGAGUGACCCUCAAUUUUCACGGACAGGCUGAAAAUAUAAUGUUAUAAAAAAUAGUCUGCAGCUUGCAAAAUCAUCUGUAUGCAUUUAUAUGUAGCUUCUUUUUUGUUAGACCUAAUAGAUACAAAACAUGCCGAUGGACCAACCUAUUAAAUUUACUUCAACCCUAUGUUAUUGCUUUUGUGCAGAGCCGUAACUCAUAAUCCUAAUGGAUUGAGAAAAUCCAUGAAACUGAGAUUGUCUGCAGAAGUUUAGGGACUACAUAACAAACGAUUAAAAGCAAAUCAAUAUAACCUCGGAAACCAGAAACUAGUUUUAUUAGAGCUAAUUAAUAGCAGAUAUAAGUGAAAAUAUAAUACAGCAAAAGAAACUAAACCUGCGCCAAAAAUGUUGCAAGGGCAAAUCUUAAGCUUGUUAAGAUAUCUAUCCUGUCGUAUAUAUGACUAGUGGCAGAAUAGUAGAGAUUCUGCAUACCAGAACCCUCUGAAACACAAUCCCGUAUCAACUGAAUAAUGCCAUCAACAAAUGCACGGGGUCCUCUCUCACAAAUCAUGAAAUAUACUUUCUGUCCACGUGAUCCCUAAGAAAAAUAUAGAAAAGCACACUGCAUAUCAUAUAUUCACAUACUAUAUUUUAUUAGAAACUCAAUUUGUCCUUGGGUCACUUCCUGCAAUUAGGAGGAAAAGCUUAACUCACCUCUGCUUUAGAUUGCCAAAAUUGUAAGUUCUUUUGGAUGCUAUGCAUGUUUACAAAGAUAUACUCCAAAAUGUCCUCCAAAACAUCAAAAAUUCCAGACCCCUCGAAGAACUUCCUGCAUGUCAUGUGGUAAUCUUAAUGAGGAAAGUUGUACUUGUGGCUACUUAUAACUCACGAAGCAAAUAUUGCAUUCCAUUAUGAAGUCAUUCUCACAUUAAAAAAAAAAAGUCAUAUAUAGUACUACACUGACAUAUUAGUAUGUUGUGAAAGGUCAUGUUUACUAUUUCCAAAAAUGGGGCUCAUAAGAAUCAUCCAUGAUCCAUGUUAGACAAAAAUGCAGAGUGAACAUAUUGAUGUCAUUAAAUUAGUAACUUUAGAAUUUAAAUAAAGCAUUAAAUUGUUCUGGAAACUUACUACUGGGAGGUUUUUUUUUUGUCAGGGUUUACUACUGGGAAGUUGAUAUCUAUUUACAGUAUUAUGUGUAAUUAGCUUUUUACUUGACAAAAACUCCUAGGGCCUAGACAAAGUACUCACAGUCUGUUUUAGGAGUUGACAAUCAUGCAUAGAUGAAAACUUUGUGCUUUCUUUAAGACUUCCUUUAGAUCAAUGCUCUGGAUGAUUACUUAAGUAAACAAAAUUUUGCACCUCAUAAGUUAAGGUUCGUUCUAGAAAACUAACACAACAUGAUAUCUAACUUUUGACACAUUUCACCCCCUCCUGCAUGUCUUUUUAUUAAAAAAUGACAAUUUAACUUCUGCAGCAGUAUUAUAGUCGAGUAAUUUUCUCAACAGAACACAACAUUAUUUUUCGACGUAUAAAUAAAUUCCAAUCCUCUAUGUGUAUACGCAUAAUCAUGAUGGUGAAUUGAUGAUCCAUCUAAAAGGCAAAUGAACCAAAACAAACGAGGAGAUUUGGGAGUUGGGACAAUUAUUAUGGUAACAAUGUCUUGCACAGACCAUCAGCCAAUUUUACUUAAAUAUAGAUUGCUGAGGUGAGAAAGUAGUGGAAGAAUUUAGCAGAAUUUAUGUCCUCAUUGUCCAAAAGACGAUGGAUUUCUCAGCUCGAACAAUUAUAUUACAUAAUGGCACAACAAGAACCAGAGCAACAACAGAAAAAUACUUUAAAACCAGAUUAUUUCCCUCAGCAUAAUUUAGACUCGAAGAGGAUUUGCAGACUAAAGGAGAUGAGUUUAUGGAAUGGUCCAUUCAUGAGAUUGAAGGAGCGUGAUCUAGCUGUAUUGUACGUUAAAGUUCAAAAAGCGGACAAAAGGAAUUAUUCAGACAAAUAGAUGGCAAAAGCACCCACAGUUUGCAGAGAAAAUUGAGCUGAAGACGUAGCUUUAACUUAGUAAAGACCAAAGAAACCAACUGAUCAUUAAAUUUUGACGCUGCAGUUUCGCUUGGAAGGUGAGCAACUCGGUGCCUAUCGCAUUUUACUUUCAAAAGCUUACAAUUGUGAUACCAUUGCCAUACUACAACAAAAUGCAAAAUGUAGCAAUCCAGGAGGGGGGGGGGGGAAUCAAAGAUAUGUAGUUUCAGCAUAUGCUUGCAACAAUUAAAAAGUUCGAGAAUGUUUUUAGGGCUCUUCGGUUAUACACAAAAGUAGCUGCCACUGUGCCACAUUCUAAACUACACGAAAGGAAGUCCUCUCUUACUCCGCUAAUUAACUAACUAGUAUCAAUUCAAAAAGUGUGCUUGUAAACACCAAAUUUACAUUACAUACAUCAAGACCUAACAAAAACAAUUAAUUCGAGAAUAAAAGAAAUCACAGGAAUUUCGAAACACGUAAAUUGAAAAGAAGGGAGAUGCGUACAAGCGAUAGUCAGUGGUGUAAACAGAAGGCAGAGGAAGAGGAAGAUAAGUCUUUCUUCUUCUUCUCCUUCGUCUUCCAGUAGUUGAAGCAGCUAGUUUGUAUAAAUUGGAUAUCUUCUCCUUGAAUUUAUUAUUAUCAUUCUGUUCAUCAGAGAUUGUGAGUUUUUCAAGCAUAUUGUUCCAGAGCGAUCUAGGGUUCCACACAGCCAUCGCUCUUUCCUUCCCGGGACUUGAAGAUCUCUCCAUUGCACUACCGACUGGGAUUUUGGGUUUAAAGGACCAACACCUAGGAGCUUGGGUUCGGCCAAAAAUAUAUAUACUGCAUAUCAGGGUCCAGGUUCCUCAAACAUGUACCCGGUAUUAAAAGUUUGUUUUAAUAUUCAUCCGGCUGCCCACAGAUCUCUUGAGUUUUUGGCACACACUCAUUUGACCGCUUAAUUAAAACUAUUAUUUUUAAAAUUUUCAUUUUCCAAAUUAUAAUAUUAAUCAUGUACUAUUAUUAAAAAAAAAAAUUUAAAAAUAACGAUUUUAACUAUGCGGUCAAAGGACUUAAAAAUGUGUGCCAAAAAGUCAAACGACUUAUAUUUCAAAACAGAGGGAGUAUGUUAUUUAACCGGUCUCCAUACAUAUACUAGGGAACAUACAUAUAUUAGCGAACUGGAACCAUAUGAUAUAUCAAUGAUUAUUUUUAUAUAUUUAUAUUGAAAUAUCACUGAUCAAAAAUGUCGUUAUUCAUUUUGAAAAUGAGUAAUUUAAUAUAUUUUUAUUUGAUGUAUAUAAUUUUUUUACAGAAAUAACUUUUUUUUUUUGGUAGGAUGGGUUAAGACAAUAAAUUAAUUAAGAUAACCUGCAUCACUUUUCAACAUUAAGAAACACGUCAUGGGAAGUUGAAAUUCAGUAAAAAAGACAAUUAUAAAAAACUUUCAUCAGAAGUUGAUAUUUAGUCCAAAAAAAGACAAUUAUAAAAGUUUUUCUUAAGCAAUCCAGUGAGUUGCACGGUUACAAAAACGAGACACAUGAGAUAAGCAUAUAUUCGAAAUAUACGCUAUAAAUCUGGAAUUUUCUAUAAUAGCAGCAGCUGAGUCCUAAAGAGAUGCAGUAUACCGCAAGAGUUGAGCGGUAUGAGGAAGAUAUUGUCAAGUACACCAUCACAAUUCUACCUCAUCGAUAAUGCAUACUACCUCAUCGAUAAUGCAUGGUGAGAGAUUUACGGCGAUGAAUAAUUGAUGACAUAGUUUGGAGACUCCAAACACGAGGAAUUUAACAAUGAUAAAUAUUCAGAUUAAGCUUAAGAGGCUGAUUUAAUAAUUAAGAAAAGACAAAUCCAAAUUGACUAGGCAAUGAAAGAAAAUCCAGAUAUGAGAUAUAAAUUCUCUUUAGGGGUAGUAACAACAAUGAGAGAGUUAACCAUUGCAGAUUUGCUGCAGGACAUACCUGGCAAAGAAGAAAUAAGAGUUAAAAAAACUCGAGAAUUAAACUACUCUCAUCUAGUCACACUCAAAAUCCACGUGCUCUACAGAUUCAAUGUUAUCAUGACAAAUUAAACGGUUUGAGGAUGAUGAGCAGUUACAAAUUUUCUUUUGUUGCUAAAACAUUAACCAAAAGCUUCCACAUAAUUUUUUUAAUUUAGGUUGUGCUCAAAGAGACCUAAUAAGAUUUCAAAAUGAUUUGAUAUGCGUAGAAGAAGCUGAAGUUUGUUGAGAAUCAUGAGGUUGGACUAAAUUCAAGUCAACACGAUAGCCAGAUUUUCUUUACGAUUUUAAAAAGUAGGUACACAAAAUUCAAAAAAUUUCUAGGAUAUCAAAAACUCGAGGGCCGGUUCCGGAUGUAUUAUGCACCAUGUAUCUCGAAAAAUGUUCUUUCAUAUAAUUAUUUAAAAAGGUCGAUAAAUAUGUAAUUUUUCAAAAAGUUUAGAACUUUUAAUAUUAAUAGAUGAACGAAUAAAGUGAUGGAUAUAAAUUGUUACUACGUCUUGUGUGAGUAUGAGAUUGAUUAGCACCCAAAAGCAACUUGCUAGAGUUGCUGGUGUUGGUUUAAUAACUUCUCACGGAAAAAAUCCUGAUAUAGAUGACUCGUUUGUAAAUGUAAAUAAAUGAAAUUGAUACAAGCACGGUCCAUUUCCUCUUAUCAACUUAAUAAACACAUACAUGCAAUCGAUCACUCACAUGUCACAACUAUAUGCACUCUAACACAAUGCGUAGUUCUAAUUCAAGAACAUCACGAUAUCAGUGCAGCUUAAACCGGCAUCACGUCCAGUGAUCUCGACAGGGAAGUUGCUGAUGCGCUCAGAUCCAUCUUUGAUCUCUGUAAUCAAUGUUCAACAAUUUCAAAUUUUAUAUGCAAUUGUACAAUUUUUCCACUAUUACAAGUUUUCAUUUUAAAUAGUACAAUAGUAAUAGUCUGUUUGGAAACUUAUAUUUCAUUUGAAAUCCUGAAUUUAAUCAAAUAUCCUUUUUGGGAAUUUGGAUUUGGAUUUCAUUUGAAAUCCAGAAAUUCAGAUAUUAGUAUAAAUCUGAAUGGCAAUUCAAAUCAUGUCAUUUGAAAUGAAAUUCAUAUUUCGAGACAGUUUUUAAAAGUCGGACGAAUUUACCUUUUCUGCGAUAGUGUUUUUCCAGGCUUUAUCCAUUUCAUCAAAAACGACAUCGAUUGUAGGUCGGCCUUUGCUUGAUCUAGCAACACACAGUACCGCGACUUGUAAAAUUGAUUCGUAGUCCACACUGUUGAGAUUUCCCUGUAGCCUCGGGUCUUUGAUCUCAGAUAAUGGCCGUUUCCCCAUACUCACAUCCUUCGCCUGCACAAACAUUUGAAUUAACGGAUAACAAAUAGACACUUGGCCCGAACGAUCUUCUAAUCAAAUGCUUAAGCAUUUACAACAGUGUUUUAUGUUUUCUAUGAACAAUGAUCAAAAAAAUUCAUAUUAACAUGGAUUAAGGUAGGCUACCUUUCGUGUAAGCUGGUCUCUUGCAUCAAGAUCAAGCUCGAUGACUUUUUGUCCAGAAAGAAGUUGGAGGGCUACGAUGCCGAAACUAUAGAUAUCACUGGCACAAGUUAACUUGGCGUUGCUCAUGUACUCAGGAUCCAUAUAUCCUAUGGUUCCUCUGACAUCAGUGAAUACCUUGCUCUCCUCAAUGCCCAACAUUUUUGCCAACCCGAAAUCAGAGAGUUUAGGUUCCAAGUUCUCAGUCAAUAGGAUGUUUGUCAGCUGUAAACAAUCAGUGGCAUUCUUCAGAUUUUUAAUAAUAAUAAAAAAAAAUUCUAGAACAAAUGAAUGAUCUCUCUAUAUACCUUGAUAUCUCUAUGAACAAUGCAUCCGUCGAUGUAAUGAUGAAGAUAUCUUAGUCCAAGUGAACAAUCCCUCAAUAUUUUUACCCUUCUUUCCCAUGUAAGAAAUGUAUCUUUCCCUGAAUAUUUAAGAUUUAAUCAGUAAGCACGCGAAUUUAAUAGCAAGACAGCAAUUCAUCGCGUAAGCAGAAUAGGUGACUUACUAAGAAGGUGUUGAGCCAGGUUUCCGUUUGAGCAAUAUUCAUAAACCAGGUACUGUUCUCCAUCCUCAGUGCAGCAGCCAAAAAGACAAACAAGAUUUGGAUGUCGAACUCUUGAAAGACCUUCUACUUCACGCGUAAAUGUGUCUGAAUUGUUGCUCUUGUAUAUAUGCUUGAUGGCCACAACUUGUCCACUUGGUAAAAUCCCCUUGUAAACAGUUCCAGCACUUCCGCGACCUAGGCAUUUCUUUUCAUUGCCAAAGUUAAUUGCAUUCUCAAUCUCUGCCUUGGAAAAUCUGUAGAGUCCAGACCAUGUUGCAAUCUCCUUGGCUUUCACAUGUUUGUAAUCCUUUUUAUUGUUCUUGAUUACGUGUUUUAUCAGAACGAUGACCAAGAUAAGAACAAUGGCCGCUAUGACAAGAGCCAAGAGAGCUUUCACCAGAGAAACUGAGACAUACAUAAAAUCCAUCGACAAAUGUGCUGAUCAAUAACUAAACAUGCCAUAUAAACGUGUUAAACUGCGGUCUGUGAACAAACUUAUACAAGAUUUAGUAAAUAAUCUGUGACUUUAAACUGAAGGAUCUUAUAUGAUAAACAUGUACAGACAGAGUUGGACUUACAUUUGAGUUUGAUAUAACCUGGAUCUGUAAGAAGACAAAUUAAAAUUGAGUCAAUAAAUAUUGCAAGCUUAUAAAAACUUGAUUCAAAAUUCUAUGGCUUGAGAGAUUAAAUUUGUUCAAGUGGUCUUACCAUAUAUAUUUAGAGCAGAUGCACAUCUAAAUAGAUCACUGACAUACAAGGGAUCACUUAUUCUCUGUGCUGCAAGGGAAAUUAAUAUCGCCACACCACAUGUAGCUCCCUCUGUAUCAUUUCCAGAUUUUUGAUACUUACUUAACAAGUGAGCUUUGGCACGUGUUAUAGCAUCCGUGCACGUGCUGCAAUCUCUGUCGAAUGAAUAUCCAAACUGAGAACAACUUACUGAAGCAUUGUGAAAGAAAUCAUCGCUUAUCAUGUCAGAAUAUGACAUUGCAGAACAUUUAGUACUGUUGAAGUAUAGAUUUUUGAAGCCACAAGAAGGUAUAGAGACAGAGGAUUGUCUCAAGAAUGGACCGCUACAGUUCUCCCACUUGUCAUUUUGAAGGAAGAGAGAGUCUGCAUUUUUACCGAGGUUCGCUCUUAAGGCCAAUGCCUUCACAAAAACUGCCAAUGCAUUUCUGCAACAAAUGGAUGUAGUCACGCUGUUCCAUGCAUUGAUCUCCUUUGGUGUGUUUAUACAUUCACCCUCUGGCUGGUAAGGAAAUGGGGUCAAAUUUAGCUCACAUGCUGCAUUUGGCCAUCAGACAUGCAAUUAUGUUAGCAAGAAAACCUUGUGUGAUGUAAACUGUAGUUAAAUCAAGAACUAGGUAGGAUCCAUAAUAAGCAACUCCAACCCUUCAAAUCCUUAGCUAAAAAAUGAGUUCGCAUGCCAAAAAUAAAAAAUAUACAUAAAACUAAUAUGUUAAUCCUUAGCUAAACAUAAAACUGAAAAAGAAAGAUAAAAAUCCGUCGAAGGGCCAAGAGAGAUAUGAUUUACCUUUGUCUUCAGGAGAAGGGGGUAAAGGGGCUGUAGAGUCAGCUACACAACAAAUGAAGCAGGCUGCAACAGCAAAGAGUUUUAGCAUCCCAUGGCACAAAAACAAGUUCUGGUACCUUCUUCUCAUCUUCUUCUGAUAGCUAAUAGGUCAUCUGUACUAGUUUAGUCUCAUGCAUCGUCUUCGAUCUAGCUAACUAAUUAAGGGAUCAAUCAGUAACCUCCAAUUUAUUUUAAGGAAGUUACUUCAUGCAGUGGAUGUCUAAACUUAUACCAAGAUGACUACCUCUUUUCCACCGAUAAAAAGAUUAUACAAAUUCGGAUAUUCUUGUUCUGGUGCUAGAUUUCUUAGUGACAGUACACUUUCGUACCUAGUAAUAAUCAAUUUGCUCAAUAGUAUCUAUAAUCUUCUGUUUCCUUCUGUAUAAUAUAUGUAUAGUUUAACUUAUGUUCAUUGCAGCAUCUCCUGUUGUUUAUUCAAAACAAGAAUAAUAUGACAAAGAACUGGAGAUGUAUUUAGCUUCGAUAGUUCCCAAGGUUUUUCGCGUACCAUUGGUUACUUAUAGAUAACAUUAAAAAAGAAAUCUGUGGGCUAGUAGAAAUUAUAAAACAAUGGUGGUACAAUGACAUGCUCAGGACCUGCAGAUAUAAAGUGCUCACUCGAAUCGCCUUCUUCAGUUAUGCAGUGAAUGCUAAACUUUAUUUGUUUCUGAAACCAUAGAUCAUCUGACAUGAACUUCGAAAAAAAAGGAUUGUAUCAAAAGUAAUUAUAUGAACACUGAAGAAAAAGGCAGAUACAACAAUAAUAAUAAACAGUUUUUUGUCUCAAAACUAAUUAUCAUCUUCUUUAGCAGUCCACUCAACCUGCUUGGAUCCUUGAAUUGAAACUAGGCUCUCCGUGUACUUGAAAAUUUUAAAGGGAUAAAUUUCAGGAAUAUUUUGUGCCUCUGUUCCGUCUGAAUCAUAUAAGAACAAGUGAUUAGCGGUUCUUACCAGGAUGUGAUCAAACCUGUUUAAGUAGCCACAAACCUUAUCUAUUCCAGAUGAUUCAAAACUUAACAUCAGAGUCCAUGAUCCCUUAAUUCUAUCAGGAAGGCAUGCAUCUCCCACGGUCCACAAGCGGAUUGUGCCAUGAUAAACAUUGCUGUCAUUCUCACUAUAGGUAAUCACAGCAAUAAAAUCUUUGAACUCCGUGACACGAGCAGUAAAAUAUGUUGGUUCCUCAUCAGCAAAAUUUUGCACAUUGUCAGGGUAGUAGAUAUCAUAAUCAAACACUUCAUUAUUCAGAUCAAACGUCAUUAAGCCACUCGACCAUGUGCAGUAAAUAAAUCCAUUCAGGCAGAGAUCAAAAGUGUCAUAUGUUGGGAAUUUCAUGGUGUUAGGCUCAAGCUCUCGCCAAGCAUUGGUGUUUGUAGAAUAUACCUCUGCACCAAUGAAGUGUUCCAGGUGUACCAUUCUGACAACCUUAAAAUCAUUUGAAAUUGGAUCAAAACCAAGCCCGAAGCACAAUGAGCGAAGACACUUGGUUGCUCGUAUGUUGUGUUGCACAAGGAGCUUGGAUUGCCUAGUUGCAGGGUUCCAAAGAUAGGUAUCAUUGUUUUGGUAGAUAGGAGAGCCCCUGUCAGACUCCGGAGGGAAAUCUGAGACGAGACAAAUAAUGCCAUUACAAGAACCAGCAACGAACAACUUAGGAACAAAGCGGAAGUGAAGCUGAGAGUAAGGACGCUGGAUACCAACAUCCAUUUGAAAAGGAUAGAGGUGGAGCAGAAAAAUGGAGUCAUCAUUUCUGUUGAAGCAGUUGAUGACGAAAGAGUCUUUGUUUUCAAGGCUUGUGAUGGCACGACGGUGGUGCAAGUCGAUGAAAUUAGCAUUUGUGAUCACAGAAAGCCAAGUCUUGGACACUGUCCUGAGUUGGAGUAAACAUUUCACUGCAAGCCUUGAUAGAAUGUCCAUGAGUACAUCCUCUGGUAAACUGUCACCAGUGAAAGUCACCGGGAAAACGCCUUCUUCUGGAUUUGCCAUUGUGGAAUCUAAAAAGUCGAUUUGAUCCAAUCUAUGAGAAAUCAGAAUAAGGGUCAGAUUUAUCUCCCACAGAAAUUUGAUUAAAAUUUGACAACAGGGCCUAGUUGUUCUUUUUACUUCUUAAAAAACAUAAUGUCAACGAAUUGUCCAUGUUCUACAGCUAUGUCCAGAAACUUAUACUCUCAGAUGUGAUUUCAUUAAAGAAAACGUGUCAUCGAUUUGAAAGAAUCUCAACGCUAAAACAACUUGGAUUAAUCAUUCAUAAUUUUCGCUGCCACUAGAGUUUUGAGGCACAUUGACAACGAAAUAUCAUAUUUCUUGCACAGAACUGAUUAUUAAGAAAGCCAAAUGACAACUGUGCUUUCUGAAGUUCAACAGAUCAAAUGAUGGCAUCUCUACAACAAAAAAAGAGUAUAUAGUUGGGUUAAUUUUCCCUAGAUCUACGCCGUCCAGAACUGCUGCAUUCAAGAAAGUCACAGGCCUCAGAAGAAUUCCUUAUAAUUAAUAUAGAAGGAUUCCUUCCAUAUCAAGAAGAAAUGACGCGAUCAAUUUACACCUCCUUAAUCAUAAAUAAGGAUACUUUGAAGUCUAUCAUUAGUGACUAUGAGCUGGUAAUUUACUAGUAGCACGUCGAAAACCUUGAUCAGACUAACCAAAAUCUUUCAAUAGUUGCACUUGUACAUUUGGAGUAUUGCAAAUAGAAAAACAAAGUUCGAUACAAAUGCAACACUAACACUAGUUGAGUACAAAUCUUAUGAACAUGUAUCAUCCACAAUUCCUUCCAGUACAGGUGGAGGAAGAAGCCAGGUAGAUGCAUUAAUAUGCGCAAGGGUUAUGAAUUGUUUAGCAACAGCACCAGAUAAUCUCUUCACAAAACCGGGCCGCUGGUCUGGCGUGGCUCCAGGCCCUCUGUUCUCAAAUUCCGCAAAGUAUGCAGUUCUGCAUUCAAUAACACACAAAUAUACUAUCUGUCCUGAACAAUAUUUACCAAAAAAAAAAAAGAGAAGAAGAAACAACUUACUUAGCAUACUGUGGUCUGCCUAGGGAUGACCAGCCUCGAGGAUGAACAACAUCCCCCAUCUCAGUAUACGAAAAAAUCACCUUAGGAUGUGACCUCCAAGUCCUCCCCAAGUAGGUCUUCAUCGUGUUCCCUGUCACAGAACAAUGCACAAACGAGUAUCCCAGGUCAGCAUUCGGAUCAUCAUUCGCGUGUGCAGUUAUCACAUCUCCUGGCAUCGCCCCCUCCAAUACGUGUAGUUCUGUACUCAAAUACAAAGAUUUGGCAUUGCCAAAUAUAAAAUCCACCGUUCCUUCAAUGUGACAAUCCUUGAAAAAAUGGUACCCCUUAUCGUCACAUAAGGUGUCCUGAUAUCCGUGCAUCUUCACGUUGUAGUACGCUGCCUUAUUGCCACUCACUCUCAUUGCCAAUGCUUGAGCCAGGAGUCGCCCAUCCGGCCUUGGCGUCGUGUUCUGCCCGAUCCAUACCACAAAUUAACAAACAAAUUAUUCAGUUGCAUUACACACGGGUCACGUUUUAUGGAGAACACGUUUUAGUGUCAAAAUACUGAGAACACUAUUGCAUAACAAUACAAUAUUAAAAAAAUAAAAUAAUUGCAAAACAGUUGUUCUGCCCUUUUUGAAAAGUGAAGAACAACUGUUCUUAUUAUUCUCACAAUCAAACUGUUCUCACUUGAAUCACAGCCCGUUACAUAUAGUAUAAAUAUAUAAAAAUUCAGUUUAACUUACGACGAUUCUGAGAUUAACAGCCAUGAAAUAAUCAGCUGUAGUUUCAACCGUCAAUGUGCCACUAUUAGUAGUUCCAUAAGUCCUAGCACUCCCAUUAUACCAUAUAACCGGAACAUCACUCGGAUCUCCAUAAAGCGUCACAAACGUUUGGUAAUGAUCAACUUUCAGUUUCUCAAAAUAAUGUCCUCCACCAAUAAAAAUAAUAACACGAUACUUAUUACAUCUCGGAACACUCCUGAUAGCUCCACUGAUUGUCUCAAAAUCCCCACUUCCGUCUUGCCUGACAGAGAUGAUUCUUGGCGGCUUUGAUUCCGCCCUGGCUAAGGCCGGAUCCAGCCCCUCACGCCCACUGGCCGGGGCAACAUUUCUGUCAAACCAAGCUGAAACUUGGGAUUUAUCUGAAGGGAUUGGAUCUGCAUCAUCACUUACAACUUUCGGAACCAGUAGCACAAGAAUGGUGACCAGAACUGCAUCAAAUGUGACACGGCUAGCCCUGUUUUUACACAUUUGUUUGUUCUUGUGCAGAGGUUUAGCAUAUGACUAGUGUUUGGACUGCAUGGAGUAGAGUUAUUUACGUGUGUCUAGUGUUGUUGAGAAAGAUAAGUGAAAACUGGAGAGAUUAUUUCAAAUGGAGAGCUUAUCGGCCAUUCUGUUGAAAUUAGUUAAAUUCAAACUAAACAGCUUGGAGUUGUAGACAUGGAUGUGACUUGGACUCUUACAAAUAUUACAUCUUUUAUUUGUUUUUCAAUAAUUUUAAAAAUGUAACAUAAAGUUUUUGUUGAAAAUUUACAUAUUUAUUUAUACUUUUAGAUAUCGAUAUGAAUUGAUCAAUAGAUUCAUAGAUAUUUAUGACAUAAAAAUUAGAGAAAUUAAGAAAUAAACUCUUAGUUUUGGUUUUAAUGUUCACAUUUUUUGUGUAGUUUCAAUAUUAACAAUUUAAUUACCUAAAAACGUAUUUUUCAAAAUUAAUAAAUUAUAAUUUUUAAUUAGUAUAUUAACUUUUAUCAAAGAUUGCAUCCGAGUGUUAAAGUUGAUUAUUUUAAUAAAAAAAAUAUGAUUUUCAUUAGAAAAUUGUUCUCAUGUGAGAGUGUCGGUAUUUGAGGUUUCCCUGUUUAAAAAAAAAGAAAUAAUGACAAAUGCAUGUAAUAAGUCAUUUAUAAGAAAAACAUGCAUUUCUUAAGUUAUGUGAUUGUUAAAAAAAUAUAUAAACUUCUUAAUUAAAUAUAUAACUAGUUAAAAAAAUAUUUAAAAAUAAAUUAAUAAGUGUUUGCUAUUAACAUAUAUCGGAGCAUGAUGUAUAAAAAAAAUAAAAAAACUUUAUACAUAUUAUAGGUGAAUUUUUCAAUGGUUCAAUCAAUCUGAAUGUGCACCCAACAAAAAAGAAGAACACAAUAAUAAAGAACAAACACAAUAACGACACAUGUUUAACUCCUAAUUAUCGAUUGGCACAACUAAUUUUAUCAGUAUAUAUAUAUACUGUAUGCUUUACAUAUGAUUGAAAAAAGGGUGAGUGCCUUUUAUAAUCACUUUUCACAAAACACUGCCCAAAAUGACCAUGUGCAGGAACAAUGCCCAAAAUAACCACUGAAACACGCAUUCACCAUAUGCGUGUGUAGUGAACAAAGAAAAAGCAAAGAAUACGCAUUCUCCAUAUGCGUAUAUGUUGUUGACUCAGCACAUUCACGCAUGUGGAGAAUGCGUAUACCACCACUGUGCAUAGUGCAUGCGCAUUCUCCACAUGCGUGUUCUUUAUAUAUUUUUUUUAAAAACGCACACGCAUAUGUGAGAUGCGUGUUUGAGUGAGUAAAAUGGGCACCUUUCCCGCAGACGGUCAUUUUGGGCACUUGACCCCUGAAAAAGUGUUAAUUUUGGCAUUUUCUCUUGAAAAAAUCAUUUUGUGAUUCAUAAAACUAAAACAUAUAUUCAUUCCUUUCAAAAAAAAAAACAUAUAUUCAUUCAUCUUUUCUUUCUUAGAAUUAGAAUUUUUUAAUUUUCAAAUUCUAAACACUAUUUGAGUAGCAUUUCGCAUUAAAUCGUCACAUAACAUUAUAUUUUGUAGAAAUUUUCAGAACUAAAACAUAUACAUACAUGAAAUAGAGUAGCAUUUUACACUAAAUUAACUAAUAACGUUAUACUCUUGCAAGAAACAGACGUGUAUUUUUUUUUAUUUCUUAACCAAAUAUUGCACACAUGAAAUUAACGAGGGUGUAUUCGAUUGGGAUUUUAAUGGAUUGUUUUUAGUCUACGGAUUUUAAUGGAUUGUGUGUGAUUUUGAUUUUGUGCGGAUUCUUAAUAAAAUGUCGCAGAGUUUAUAGGAUUUAAGCACAAUGCUUCAAAAUCCCAUUGAUUUUGGUGGGAUUUCAAAAAACUUAAAAUACACUGAAGAAUACUACAAAAUCCAUCAUUUUAUGAAAUGCAAAAAAAUCCAUCAGCAUUUGAAUACCAUCAGAUUUUAAUGGAUUUUAAAGAAUCCCAAUUGAAUACCAUCGGAUUUUAAAACAUAAUUUAAAAUCCCAAUUGAAUACCACCGGAUUUUGUAGCAUAAUUUAAAAUCCAAAUUGAAUACCUCAAGAUUUUAAUGGAUUUCAAACAAUCCCAAUCGAAUACCCUCGGAUUUCAUGAAUGCAAAAAAAUGCUUUAAAAUCCCAAUCCAAUACACCCCUCUAAAAAGUGAUUAAAAAGUGAUAUAUCGGACAAUUUCUCGCCAAUGUUGUGUAUUUUGUGGGGGCCUUUUGUCGCUAGUUAACUGAGUUCUAAAUAUUUCCUCCGCUCAGCUCAGGGCUCAGCCUUGUUCUCUCUCAGUCCCCAUCGCGUUGUGCUCAGUCUGUGCCGUACACCGUAUAUCUGUCUUCUCCGCCGCGCUAUGCCCUAAUCGCUCGCUUCCCAAUCCCGUAUUUGAUCGCCCUGCUUUCUGAUUUUCUCCGAUCCUCCAGGUAAUUAAUGUCUCUGAUUCGGUCUACUUCUCUUUGAUUUUUAUUCCCUGUGCUUUGGUUGAUCAAUGUAGUUUCCGUUUAUGAUUCUAUAACUGGAUAUAUCUUAAUAUCUGGCCUGACAAUAACAUCAUCAAUUCGUAAUAUUGUUUUAUUUACUAUAUACGAUUAGGCCUUUAUUUGUUGCGCACCCUGAUGGUGGCAUAGAGGAUUCUAGUAUGAUUACCUGCUUUAUAAUUGACUUUGUUGAACCCUAUAUUUGCCGUUGAUAAAAUCGUUCUCUGGUUGAGGCGCGGCCUAAAUGUGCGCAAGAAAAUUCGUUACAAACGUUUUCCAUGUACUAAUGAAGACCAUCUUGUGAGGGCCAGAGCACAGGAGAAUCAAAUAUAUAUAGUUAAAUGAAGCAAGUAGAGAGUAAGUAGAUAUAUAUGCGUCAACUAAUGAAAGCUCAUAUCCCUCCAAAAGAUUCUGAUUAUCACUAAUUUUGGUACAUUCGCUAUGAUAAUUACAAGUGUGAAAACAGUUAUAGAAGGGGGGGGGGGGGGGGACAAUUAAAACAAGAGAACAAAAGAUUAAGAGUUCCCUUGCUGCAAAUCUGAAAUACAGAGUCAGUUAAUUACCAAGGUAUUGGUUGUCAACUUUGGUAUUUGGUUCAAUUCCCUAAAGGAAGUUCAGUUGAAUAUCUUCUUGAAUUAUUUGUACAAUGUCGUUCAUUUGGUCAUUGUAGAUCAAGUGCUGCUUGGAAUCUAUCAAUGUUGUUAUAAAAGAGACGAACAUCCAAUUAUAAUCAUCUAAUCAUAUAUAGUACAUAAUGGAAAAAUGAAGGAACAAACCUAAACAUGACACCUUUAGUAGGGGAAAUUUAAAUGAUAACAUAUUGAUCGUCAUUCUUGUCUCUGUUGUACUAGGCGCAAAAGCCAAAAACUCACCAUUGCCAGCAAAAGUUCUAAAACUUGAUCAAAGGCGAUGCAUCAUCUUUACAAACUUCAAUAACCAAUUCCUUUUUAAUGUACCUGCAUAAUAUAAUAGAAUUUCAAAAAGCAAAUAAAACUAGGGUUUUAACGAGAGCAAUGUCAGCAAAUAGUUAAUUAAGAUAUGGUUCAUUUUUAUAUUUCAUUAUCACCACUAACUUCCAGGCGGAUUAUAGUGUUUUAAUGAGUGUUAAGAUGUCAAGUGAGGAUGUUCCAUUCUUUAAUAGUAGAGGUUUGAUGCCUUAUUAUUAGGAAAUGGGAGUAUUACUGACAUUCUGCUCUGUUAUAGACAUAUUUUACGCAAAUCCAAAUAAUAUAGAAAAAUUAUGUAAAGUAGUACACACAUAGCAUCCUCUGGACCUUAUAAAAUGUAAAUUAAAUCCAUCAACUAUAUAAUAUAUAAUUCAGGGCAAGGCAUUGACAGGUUAAAAGCAAGUUAUUGAGCCCAUUUGGGUGGGCCUAAAAAAUGGCUUACGGCGGCUUAUAGUGACUUUGUUGGAGAUAAAACACGAGAUUCAAUCUUCUAAUACAAAGCAGACACACAACAAUAUAUUUGACGUGGAAAACCCACGUCCCAACUUGUAUUAUUAAUCAAAACCAUUAUCAAUAAUAGAAUCAACCAAACUUGGAUACUCAAACCUACUACUCAAGUAUCCGCCCGUAAGCGAUACCUAAGUCUACAUCUUGAGCACACUUAUCAAACACAAUAUGACUAUGUAUAUAUAGCCAUCUCAAACUAGACAAAUCAGAAUCUAAUUCUAAAACAGCUACACAUAGUCCUAAUCCAAUUCUGAUUUUCAACUCAAAUCAGAAUCCAAUUCCAACUAGGUAUUCUAUCUUUGCGACCAAGACAUAUCUUAUAAUAAUUGUCUAAACAUACAAUUAUUAUCCUUAUAUAUUUUGGAUCACCAAAGUCCAUGUUACCUUGUAAUGGGCUGAUACCUAACAAUCCUCCCCUUCAGCCCAAUACAAUCAACAAUCACGAUGAAGACACCGGCGUCCAUCCGCCAAUGCCUCCCCUCGAACAAGAAUCUCCGCUUCUCGUUCUUCCAAACUUUGAGGAUCACCAAAUUUCACUUUAAUGAACUCCCAACCACCGCUCUUUAUCAAAACGGUAUAUCCAUCUACAAAAUCACGUGCAUCAACCCCGAGUGCUCUUCCAUCCAUGAGUCACCCGAUCCUUGCUUUCACAAUCCUCCGGCCUCUAGAAGAACCAUCCAAUCUUCUUCCAUAUUGAGUCCAUCAUGAUUGAUCCACGGUGCAAGUCAACCGUCAUACCGCACGUAAUUUUGUCUCUUUCCACUUUCGCAGCUUCUUGCUAGCAAAACCUACAUCGUACUUUACAUUUUCCAUUGAAUCCCGAAUUUUUCUCCAACCUCGUCUCAUGAUCCUAACCUGGCUCUUGAUACCACUUGUUGGAGAUAAAACACGAGAUUCAAUCUUCUAAUACAAAGCAGACACACAACAAUAUAUUUGACGUGGAAAACCCACGUCCCAACUUGUAUUAUUAAUCAAAACCAUUAUCAAUAAUAGAAUCAACCAAACUUGGAUACUCAAACCUACUACUCAAGUAUCCGCCCGUAAGCGAUACCUAAGUCUACAUCUUGAGCACACUUAUCAAACACAAUAUGACUAUGUAUAUAUAGCCAUCUCAAACUAGACAAAUCAGAAUCUAAUUCUAAAACAGCUACACAUAGUCCUAAUCCAAUUCUGAUUUUCAACUCAAAUCAGAAUCCAAUUCCAACUAGGUAUUCUAUCUUUGCGACCAAGACAUAUCUUAUAAUAAUUGUCUAAACAUACAAUUAUUAUCCUUAUAUAUUUUGGAUCACCAAAGUCCAUGUUACCUUGUAAUGGGCUGAUACCUAACAGACUUAAUGUUAGAAUUGCUCAGCUUAAAUCAUCAGUUCGGGUAAUUUUUAUAUUAUAUGGGACUUAUAAAUUGUUGAAAAUAUAAUAAUAAAAAUAAAUAUGAUAGGUUAUUCAUUUUUGUGUUGAUUUUUUUUAUAAUUAAAAUCAUAAUAAUAAAAUAAGUAAUUGAGAAAAGUACAUCUUACCAUUUCUUGUCUUUAAGUCGGUUUGUAGCUUAUUUUUAAGCUUUAGCUAGCUUCUGGCUUGUUACACAAGUUUGAUAUUUUUCAGUCUAAAAUGAUUUUAAGCCCGCAUUUAAAGUCUAGGGAAACAGAAUCAUUGUCUGGUUGCUCACUUGCAUAUUGAUCUUUGCUCAAUAAUUUCGAGACAAGGAUCAGAGACUUUUUAGCACAAGGAAAGCCUACUCUGGCUAAAUAUGUUGCAAAUGUAAUAACUCUUGUGCCCUCCGGUUAUGAUGCUCUUGUAUUUUGUUAUAUUGCUGACUUAUUAAUGUAGACUCGUGGAAGAAAUUUAAGAGGGAGAAGACAUAAUACAUUAUAUUUUAGUUUAAAGUCAAUUCAUAUGUAUACGUGUACAUUUGUGCUGGUUGAGCUUUGAAUGCCAUUACCUUGUAUUUUCAUCGAUGUAAAAUUAUACAAAACAAAUAGCAACAUCUUCAUGCCAUGUGAUUUGGUUAUAUUGGAAGCGGCUUUAUAUUUACUCUACAGGAAGCGGUUGCCAAAGAUUUUGCUAUACCGGUUAAGUCUCAACGUUUCUGGUACUGCGCAAAGAGAACCAUACAUACUGCCCAAAUCGACAUUUGACACCUCGGGACGAAUUGUGGUUGGUAAAAUACUUGCACUCUUUCUUGUAUUUAUUUGUUGCACAUCCGUCUACUGUUCUUUCAAUUGACAUAUUUGGUUAAGAAAUGUUGUUGCAUUUUCCCACAGUUUUCAAGACAUAUAUGCUAUGCCUGCUUUCUAUACUUCUUUUGGUUGCCGUAGUUACUGUGAAACUAACUUGUGCCAUGAUAUUACAUUCUGUGCCAAACUAUAAUUUUGUAACUAUUCUAUCCAAUAUUAGGUAGAAACCAAGAAACUCGGUUAGUAACUAUUUACAUGUGCAUGUUCAAGCUGACACAGGCCUGCAAAGGCACAAAUUACAAGUGGUGUCCUGUUUUUGUUACUCAGGGUUUGUCAGCUAUUUACAAUCAGUGAGACACAGAAUAUGUAUUACCAUAUUGAUGAGUUUGUAAUAAGGUCCGUCUGCGAUUGAAGACGACAUGCAUUGCAAGUCAGAGCCCACACUUAGGAGGAUAUCAUAGUUAGCUUUUCUAAUUACUUCAUUAGGCUGGAAAAGAGAAAACACGCAUUAGGUGCCCAUGUGAGUAAAGAACAAGCAUCUUAAUACGACUAAAAUAAAUGGACAUGUCAUAAGCCAAGGUAUUGAUGAAUUAUUACUUGCACUCUUUCUUGUAUUUGUUUGGUGCAAUUCUCUGUAGUGUUCUUUUGAUUGACAUAUUUGGUUCAGAAAUUUUGUUGGAUUUUCCACAGUUUUGAAGUCUUUGUAAAGGACAUCUAUGUUAUGCCUGCUUUCUAUACUUCUUUUAUUGCGCAUAGUUAGUGUGAAAAUGACUGGUGGCAUGAGACUAUAUUCUGCACCAAAAUAAUUGUCAUAAAAUUUGAUUGUAUGUAUUUUGAAGAGACUUUGAAAUCAUUCUCCGUAUCGGUAGGUAAAUUCGUAUUUGGGGGUGAUUAUUGGAUAUUUGCGGUGCUCCGAAGCUUGGUUUCAAGAAACUUUUUGCUUUUUGUAGUAUCGAUUAUAAUGACGAAGGGGUUAUGAAUUUAUGAUUUUUGGAACCUCCAUAAAUAUCAUUGCAUUCUUCUUUUCUGUUGUAUUUUUAUCGUAUCUUCCAAUUUUGUGGAGAGAUGUAGAAGUGAUUGUAAUUGUGUGCAAGAGAUUUGGAGAUAUUGAAAUUGUUUACAAUUGACUUAUAUGUUAAAAUAUGUUAAACUAUUUGAAAGGGAGCCCUUCGUUGUUUCUAAAUCUACCCGUGUCCUGUGAAACUCAAAUAUUAAUUUGUUGCUUGAUUGAACUUAAGUAGGAUUGAAGUUCACAACGAUGUAAUGUGUUUUGAAAACAACGUCUGUUUAUUGUUCGGCACGCAUUGUACGUUACGCAUUUGUUUAUGUGAAGACUCUUGAAAUCUCCUCUCUCUUUUAACCUUUUGGUGUCCGGACUCCUGAGCCAACUUUACUGUUUUUGUUGUUGAUCUGUGAAUUAUAUAUCCCAGUGAUUUCAUCAUUUGGCGGCGGUGGAGUUUGUGUGAUAUGGCGGAACCACCGGUGUCACUUUCUGCCGGAAAAGACCGGAUUCUCUUGAAAGGAGCUUUUGCUGUCACAGGAAUCAUGUCCACUCUUGUUAUUUAUGGUCUUUUACAGGUGUUCUCUCUCCCCCCCUCUCCCCCCCUCUCCCCAACCCUCCCUCCAUCGCUAUCUGAUUUUAACUAUGCAAUUUUGUUGUUGUUGUUGUUGUUGUUGUUGUUUUUUUUUUUGUUUUUUUUUUGUUUUUUUUUGUCAUAUGCAAUUUUGUUGUUGUUAAUUGUGCAUUAUUUUGGUGUUUUUAGUGCUAAAUAACUGUAUUCCAAUUGUUUUAUGUAAUGAAGUACGCAACUUAUGAGCAGAAAAAUUUACAUUGGUGAAGCAGGUGCAAUUUACUUUGUUCAGUUGUUUCAAAAUACGUAUAUUUAUCAACAUUAUGGAUUUGCAUUUCUUAUUAUCUGUUUUCCCAGAAAGGGGGGGGGGGGGGGGGUAUAUGAGAUAAUUCUGGAACGUGAAUUUGUAAUUUAUUAGUUGAAUAAUGUAUCAGGAUUGGGUCUAGUAGUUGAUUAGUUUAAAUGUUUUACUAGAUUGAUUGUUAGGUAAUGUAGUUUUGUUGUGAUGGAUCGUUAUGUUAAUGUUGUACAUAUGUUGUCGUGCAUACUUAUUAUCUUAAAAUGUGUUCGAUGGUCUAUUCAGUAGGUGGUGUAUCAUAAUGUAUCCUGUUCAGUCCAUACAUAACUACCGCUAAUACCUGAUUAUCUUUUAACCUCUCUUAAUAUGUUCUUAAAGAUUUAAUUGGAGAUAAAGUUGUAGAAUGAUGAAGUAUGGUCAUUUUUGAAUUCCUAAAAAAAAUAUUGCUUUUAAUUUUUUUAUUUUAGGAGAAGAUCAUGAGAGUUCCAUAUGGACCCGAGAAAGAGUAUUUUAAGUACUCAUUAUUUCUUGUCUUCUGCAAUCGUGUUGUGACAUCUGCGGUGUCUGCUGUCACUUUAUUGGUAAGUAGUUACUAAUUUAUGCAUUUUCAGAUGGCAGAAUAUAUGAUUGCUUCUAGUCCAUAUGCAUAUCAAACAUGGCACUUCAGUAUGUUUCCAUGCUAUCUCCCAUUUCACAAAGUAGACUGAUCUUUCCUUUCUAUACUGUACUAAUCAGACAUUAUUGGAAGGUUUCAACAUCUUUGUAACUGAUUCUAUUGGCUGUUAUUUUUAGGCGAGUAACAAGACCUUGGACCCUGUUGCACCAGUAUAUACAUAUUGUGUUGUGUCAGUAUCCAACAUAUUAACGACAACAUGUCAGUAUGAGGUAUACUAUUAUCAGUUCCAGAACUUUUACUUAUCAUCACCAUUGUAAAAUAUAUUUGAUUUUCAAAUGUAGUUCAUUGGAAUCAGAUUUGAUACUAUUAUGUGUUAUAUUAAUGAAUUAUUAUAAAUGCUAUUUAUAAAGCUACAAUUAUCUGUUUACCUUGACAUUUUCACUAAUCCUUGUACAGGCUCUCAAAUAUGUCAGCUUUCCUGUCCAGACGUUGGCCAAGUGUGCUAAAAUGAUACCCGUAAUGGUAGGUUACAAUGGGUUUUCUUGGUCAUAAUCACUGUUAGACCUGUCUAAAUAUCUCAUUGUAAGAUAGUUGGUUUAUUAUCUAUGCUAUUCUCUCAAAAUAUUUCUUUGUUAUUAUUAGUUUUUUUUACAUGGUAUAAAAUCUAUCUUAUGUCCAAGUAAUAUGUUACUCAUGCGCCUCUGACAUCGGCUAUGCUUUUCCUAGGCUGAGAAGUAAAACUUUAAUAAAGCCAGUUUUUUUAAUUAUAGUAUUGCCCCAUUUGAUCUACAAAUCUAUAGUAUCCUAAUUGGCACUGGGUACGGAACCUUAGUUUCCUGUUAUUUGUGCUUUCUUGGCAACCUUCACAAUCAUGUUUACUAACCAAAUUGGGAAUGUAUCUCCCUGGAGCUACAUAUUAGAUAUGCUGAUUGCUGAUGGCAGUGCACAUGUGGAAUGCUAUUGUGGCUACUAGUACAUACAUAUCUACCAGCUCUUUUAGGGACAAAACUAAAACCUUGACGGCAUUUGUGUGCUCGGAAAGGAGUGAAAUUUUUAAACUCUUCAUUAGCUCACUAAAAGCAUUAUGGAUAAUUUUUUUUACCUUUUUUUUUUAAAAUCCGGAACUUUUUGGCUGUGAAUCAAUAUUCUAUCAGCCCUGCUGAAAAUAUUCUUUUUUCACUAUACGCAAAUAGUUAAAUCUGGCACUUUUUGGUUGUGAUAUCAAUAUUCUAUCAGCUCUGCUGAAAAUAUACUUUUUAACUGUACUUAAAUAUUGCACUCAUCUUUCAACCUACCGUUUUCACAUUAUUCUGUGCUAUUUUCUUGUUUAUUGAGGUUGUUUUAUGUUGCACCUUGGAUUAACUGCAAUAAGAAGUUUGAAGGUAAAUCAUAUGUUUUAGAGGAGCUUGACAUGCAUAGACAAAAGAACCAUUAAUGUGUUGAAACAAUCCUACAUCCUAAUUGGCAAUGUGUUGAACCAUCAGGUCAUCUCUUGAAUGAAGUGAUAUGCUCUUUUUACAGCUAUCACCUUAACUGUAUAAUUUUAAAAGUGUAAAUAUUUUAUUCGUACUGAAAAGAGAAAACGUAAAUAUGUAGCGGAGAUUUUUGAGAAAAUAGGAACACAUAGCGAAGAAGCACAGUAUGGCGAUAGCCGAUACCAUAACCAUCUAGUUCAGGACUCUGAUAAACAGUGCAUUGGAGGAGACGUUGUUGCAACUAUUCAUAUUUUAGCAUGCUUGCCUCUAUAUAAAUAGAGGAGAAAUGUCUUUGUAUUCUGCAAUGUUUGAUAGCUAGCUGCCCUAUUGUUGGCUGUCAUGCAAGAGGAAUACUUACCUAUACUCUUUUUAUGUUAUCUCUAGGGUUUCUUAGAACCUUUGUUGAACUAAUCUAUAUUUAAAGUUUACAUAUUUUUUUCUCAACUCAUGUUUUUGAUUUUAUCCAGGUUUGGAGCACUGUCAUUAUGCAAAAGAAAUACAAAGGACAAGAAUAUUUUUUUGCAUUACUAGUUACUCUUGGGUGUGCAUUAUUCAUUUUAUAUCCGGUAAUACUUUAUUUGCCAUUAUAUUGCAAUAAUAUCAUUUGUAUCCUUUUGGUGUCUAUUCGUCUAUGCAUUGUAAUAAGUUGCAACACAUAGUUGUGAACUAAGGUGCAAUACUGAAUGUCAACCUGAUAAUGUUUAUAUACGUUCAGCGUUGUAACUUGACCUAAUAUUGUUAAAACCUGUGUUCUCUAAUCUCUAUUAAGCAAAUAACCUAAUUAUAAUAUUUAAGGAUGAUUUGGUUCUUUACUGUGAAAAUAAUUGGCAUGAUUAGCAGGGAGAUAGCCCUUCAUUGGCCGUUGCAGUUUUAUUUGAUGAGUCACAAACUUAGGCUUAACCAAACUGGAAGAAUCAAAUUUUUGGAUUUAAAAUUAAUUAAAUGAUAGUUUCAACUAAAUAAUUACCACCAUUUAAUAAAUACAACUGUUAUAGAAACUUUAUUGUGGAACACUUGAUAUUUAGGUUUCUCUUGAAUUGGGAUUUCCUGGAUAUGGAUUUUUACUUCUUACCAACCUUGAGCAUUUUCUCCUACUAAUCUAUUUAUUUCUUCCCUCUCUUGAAUCUUCUACCUUCUGUGUGGUAUUGCUUUUCGGUCAGCUUAGCAUCUUUGAAUUUUAUAUAUUUCUGAAUUGAGUUAAAAGUUUAUGGUUCAUUGAGGUUCCUAGAUUACUUUAACAGGUACUCCCUCCGUCCCUUCCAUUUCUUUACACUUUCCUUUUUGGGGUGUCCCAUCCAAUUCUUUACAUUUCAAAACUUACCAAAUAUGGUCAAUGGGUCCCACCACUUUUCCACUUUUCUUUCCUUUUCACACUACUUUUACUCCACUAUCUCCCUUUUAUACAUUAAAAAUCAGCGGGUCCCACCACUUCACCCACUUUUCUUUCUCUUUUCAACUACUGUAUUCAUAUUUCUUAACCUCCGUGCCCAACCCAUUCGAUAAGAAAUGGGAGGGACGGAGGGAGUAUAUAUUAGUUGAAUGAUUUAUGCUUUAAUUCAUGUUAAUGGUCUUUAAUAGCUUGUACAUAAUCUGAUGAUUUAAAGUGACAUCCUUGUAGUCAUCUGGUGAUAUUAGCCCUUACAGCAGGGGAAGAGAAAGCACAGUUUGGGGAGUUUCUUUGAUGGUCGGUUAUCUUGGGUAUACAUCAAAAGCUCUUCUACUAUGUUAUGUAUGCCUAUAUUCUAAUUUAUUAUACUUUUGAAAAAUUUAUAGAAUUAUAGUUAGUCUAACUAAUCCCGGCCAGAGUACAAAAGGGUCUUCUCAAACUUGAAUUUUGGAUAAGCAUAGGCUUAGAAAAUGUACGCUUCAGUAUUCAUUUAGAAUAAUUUAAUGCUGAAUGUGCUCAACUGUCUGGAUAAGGUCAACCUGCUGGUUCUCAUGACCCUUUAAGAAAACCGUAGCGCUCUAUCUUUCCAUUUGAAGUUUGUAAGCAUUAAUUUGUGAGGCCUCUAGUAAAAAAGAUCAAUGUGAAUUUUUACUACUCAUGGUGAACUAACAAGUGGAACCUAUUGCGAUUCAAAAUAGUUAUACAACUCCAUGUUUUAAGUAUUAUAUAUAAUUACUUGGUACUUCUGCAUUUCCUUGUAAGGCCCUAAAUUUACUUCACUGUUGUUGUCAGUAAGUAUUGCAAUAGCAUAUACGUGUGUUAAACUGGAAUCUGGAUCUUUAGAAAUGUCAAAUGCGAAGAUAUAGAAGUUUGAUGCUGCUGAAUCCUACCAAAAAUGUAUUUGUGUUUCUUACCCUAAAAAUCACAAGCUUGAUGGCUUUAGUAUGACAUUCCGGGAUGCUGGUCCAUUGCCUUAACUUUUUCCUUAUCUUCAAUUGUUCAGGCUUGAUGGGUUUACUAGCACGUUCCAAGAUAAACUAUUCAAGGGCUAUGAUAUGGAAAUACACAAUCAGAUAUUCUAUACAACACUAUGUUCUUGCAUACUGAGUUUCAUAGGUUUGUCUACCUGUAUUUUAAUGUUAUUAAGUUUCAAAUGUAUCUCUAACAAUAAGUCUCAUGACUUUUAUUAUAAAAAGGGCAUAUGCCAUUUGAGAUACGUCUACUUGACUUGUACCCUUUAUUUUGGUCUUAAUAUAUCAAGUUAUUUCAUGUAGUUGCUCCUUUAUUAUGUUCCCUAUGGAGAAUUUCAUUAGGCUCCCUGUCCUGUUAUUGCUUACAGACAUCAUGAUGCACUUGUGAACAUGAAAUGAUUACUAAUCUAUUUUUUCUGGUUGUUUGUAGGUCUUAUCGUACAAAAUCAUCUUCUAAUGGCAGUUGAUUUUAUAUACCGUCACAAUGAUUGUUUACUGGACAUUGCGUUUUUGUCAACUGUAAGUUAUCCCUAAAGCUAAUCUGUAGGGAGCUAUAACUGUUGCAAAAACCUAAUAUACUAACUUUCUUUUCCAUUUUUGAUCCCAUAAUAUAUGACAAGAGUAUGUAACUGCAUUUAUACUAUUUGUAAAGGAACAACCUAAUGUAAAGCUUUUUGCAGGUAGCAACAGCCAGUCAAUUCUUCAUAUCCUAUACAAUCCGCACAUUCGGUGCACUUACAUUUGCUACCAUUAUGACUACAAGACAGGUAAUGUGAUUAGUCACCAAGAGUCUUGUUUUUUAGCUUUGUAGAUCAUGAUUCUAAUUAUGUUGCUCUUUAAUAUUCUUAUCUCUUUUAGUUGGUUAGCAUUUUGCUAUCAUGUCUGUGGUUUGGUCACCCGUUAAGCUGGGAGCAGUUUAUUGGUGCUGUAAGUGAAUCAAUCCCAGUUCCUUUGUCAGUAGUAUAUAUAGAUGGUAUUGUUCAUAACUGCUUGUAUUGGACAGUAUCAAAUAAUGUGACUCAUACCCACUUCUCUUCAUUUAUUCAAUAGGUUAUCGUCUUUACUGCCCUUUAUGCAAGAGCGUUUUUGAGAGAUAAGCCUAGAACGCCUUUACCCUUAAAAGACGAGGAAAGUGCAGAAUCUGUUCCUUUAAAGGUGAAUUCAUAGGCAACAUACCCUUGUCGGGUAAGUUGUGGUUCCUUUUCAUAUAUAUGUUGCUUGGGCUAGUUUUUCCUGUGAGCAGUGACAUUCUUGCAAGGUUGUGAGAGAGGUGGUUUUAUUAUUACUCCUUGAAAAGCAACAAUUGCUUCAUACUCCGUUUAUAAUUUAUCUGACCAGUCUUUCACGCUAUUUAUUUCCCGGAGGAAAGAUGAAAGUAUAACCAGUAACCACAAAGCUGUUUUGUUUUUUUUGUUAUGUUCCUACUUCGAUUAAAUUUUCCAUCUACUAGGUAAAUGUAGAUUAGUGUAGUCCUAGUUAUAGAACUUUACCAAGAUUUUGUAAUGACCACUAAUAUAAUUUGUCAUUACCAACAUUAGCAAGAUUUUGUAAUGGCGGAAGGCUAAUCUUUUAUAUCAGUAAUUGUAUUACAUGAUUAACAUAAACUUGGUGAUGUUUCAGCUUAUUUUAUCCCAGCAUAUAUAUGGCAUACAAAGAUUAUUCUUACUAAAAAUUGCUCUCUACUUUUGUUGCCAUUCGAAAUGAGUAGCAUGCCUGUAGUGGUAGUAAUAGCAGAGACCGUGUGCCCUCAUUUCCGAGGCCUGUGAUAUAGACCACCAUGUGAAAUUAGAGAAAAAGUUCUCAUUUUCGUGUUUUUGGUUUCUGCCAACUAUGAACAGCUGAAAUAUUGUUGAUUCAGAAGUUCUUUUGUAGCAGAAUUUUAGAACUAUUAUACUGAUCUGAAUCAGAGAUUAUUAGGGCAAAAAAGAGUUUGUUUGAAGUUUACUACAAUUAUAAUAUAAUUCUAAAUACUUGUUCAGUAAAUCAGUAGCCGGUUUCUUAGGAUUAUGCCAGAUUCGUCUUGAGCAAUACUCCCUCCGUCCCCUUUUACAUGUCCACUUUGAAAAAAAAAUUUGUCCCAAAUUACUUGUCCAUUUCUCUUUUCAAGGCAACUUUUUGUAUGUUUUUUCAAAAAUAACAAUUUCCAAUGUUUGACUAGCAUAUAUAUAUACACAACUCUAUCUAAUUUAUUACAUUUAUUAGGGAUAUAUAUGAAAACAAGAUAUCCAACUAACAUUUUCUUAAGAUGCGUUAUUUUUUCAAAAGGGACAAGUAAAAAGGGACGGAGGGAGUACUUUUCGUAUUAUGAAUGACUGAUGAGUAGAAACGAUUUGCCUCUUCUUCUUUCAUUAAUUUGUGUGCAUCGAGUUUUGAAACACGGGCAUUAGAUGUGAAGGCUAAUAAUGUCAAAUUGAUACUGUAUCAUGGUGGAUCCAAAAUAAACUUUCAUUUUGCUCAAGUUUAUAGGAUGAUUGUGGUUCUCGAGUGGGAGUUAUUAGCAUUGCUUGUGAACUGUUUCCAAGGCAAUUGGUGCAGUUAUGUUGUGUUUGGUUGGGAUGGAUGAACCUGGAAGGAAUGAAAUGAAAUUUGAACGAUGAUGUUCCAAGAUCUCAUAAAAUCUCAUGGAUUAUGGAGAUUUAGGAACAUAAAAUAUAAGAAACAAUCCAAGAAAUCUAUCAUAUUAUGAAAUUUCAAGAAAUCCAUCAGCAUUUUUCUAACAUCAUAUUUUAAUAACUUUUAAAUAAUUUCAAUUGAAUUUAACCUUAUUUUUAGGAAUAAAAAAAAACCCUGAUAAGAUAUCACAAGAUUUUUAAAAAUAAUUUAGAAUCUGAAUUAUAAACCCCAAGAUUCUAUCUAUAUUUUUUCAAAAUCCAAAAUAUAUAGACUUGAAUUUCAAACAAAAACAAAAACAAAUUAUUUAAAACCCGAAUUCAACACAAGUCUGGUAAUCAUUCAGUUGUGACAAUCCCAGCUCUGCCACAAAAAUUAUCGAAAACUGAAAUAACCAUCACACCCAAUAAUUAAAUAUUCGCACAAAACCGAGGAUACCCAGGGGCAAAACCGUCCAACCAGUUUGCAAACCAACAAACAAACAAUCUAUCUCUAGCCUUUCUGUUUCACUUUCCCAUACUGGUCCACAAAUUAUACUCCACACAAUAUACAGAUAUAUAUGUAAUAAAGACACAUUUAUCAACUGAAUUUCAACUACUAGUGCAAUCUGAAAUGGCUUCACAGCUGCAAAUCUCCUCAAGGUUCCAACAAAAUGGGAUGAUGGGUCUGAGUUCCACUUGUUUAUCAUCAUGUUUGUCAUCAAAGAAGAGUGAGGUUUGCUUCAUGAUCCCAAAAGAAAGGAAAGAGAAUAGUCUGAUGAUGAAGAAGAGCCACAAGGGUAAUGUUGGUAAUGACAACAAGGGGUUGUUGUGUUCUAAGUUGGAGACAGUUGAGGCAGCUGUGGGUGUAGUUACUGAGGUUGGUAAGGACACUUUUUGGCCUCUUGUUAAGGCUGCUGCUGAUAAGAUUGUGGUUCUUGACAUGUACACCCAAUGGUAUCUUUCUUUCUUUCACAUUUUGACUUUAGUAUGAAUUUUCCAUAUUUUUUUAUAUGUGAUUGAUCGACACUUCGACAGGAUUUAAAUUGAAAUUAGUAGGAUCUUAUGUUAUAUCUUGAGUGACACUUGGGAUAUCCUUAAAAACAGGCUCUUCUGUUGUUGCUGGAGCCUUGUGCUUUGGUUCUGUUGUACUUUGGAAAAUGGGGUUUUAGGGGUUGUGUGUUUUUGGGUUUCUGAUGAUGGUGAAAUGGUGUUAGAAUUUUAGUCAUCUAGUGGUGUACUCUUUUUUAUUGAGUAUAAUAAGCUCCCUCUUGCGUGUUUAUGUGUCCUGAGAAUUGGGAACUAUUAACUGUGAAUGGUUAGCCUUCAGUAAAGAUUAGGGUAAAUUUGGUUACUGGAGUUGUUUAUGAAUUGGUAAUUCUGGUUGAUUGAUAGAGGAAGAAAGGGAGAAGGAUAUCUGUAGAGUGUAGAGGGAUGCUUCGUGAAAUCAUAUACACGGAUAUAUGGCUCUUGGUCCACUAGAACGACUUGUCUAUAGUCUAUAAUUACAUAGAGAUCAGCAAUCAAUACUUGCUAUCAGCAGUCCACGAUAGAGUCAUGGUCUACUAGGCCAAGCAGUUAAUGUGCCCCCAUGCCAUGUAAGGAAGAUUCUUCCCAGGUUUGUUGGGGUGAGUAAUUAGGAUAUUACGCUUCCUUUUUAAAUAGAGAGAUGAAGUGAGUAUUCCCCUUUCAUUGUGGCAAAUUAAUGGUAUUAUGGUCCUUGUUAUAUAGAAAGAUAAUUGGAGUAUUCCCUUCCCUUGUGAUAAAUUAUCACAUAAAAAUCUUAUUCUAAGCUUCGUAGUUUGGUUCAGCUUAUUGAAUGUCUAAGUUAGCUGAACUGGACUGACUUACUUUGGUCACUCAAUAACUCCAUGAUCCAUUUAUACACAUUCAACACCAAAUGUACAAGUACAGAGUGUAAUUUUCACCAUUCUUAAAAGAGAACUAGCUAAACACCACCCGAAAAGGGUUUGGAUGCUACCAGAAAUGACUACCUUCAUAUCAUUAUAUUUAUCAUGCUAAAGUUCUCUGGCUUGCUUGUUGCAAUUUCUAUCUGAACAGCAAGCUGGUAGUCAUACUAAUUUGCAAUUUAAUAGCAUGUACACAGUUUAAAUGUCAUCAUUGCAUAUCCUGGCGAAAGCCAUAUUAAGCAACAACUGAAAGAUGGAGUAAAUAUCAUUUAAGUUUAAACUUUUUGGUAAUAGAUCAAAACAUUUAGUAUCAUAAUGGAGCUCAUUUGAUUUGAACUCCUUUAUUCUUAAGCUUUGAAAAAGUUAUCAUGGCGUGGUUUAUAUAACAAGAGUCUUGCUGAACUCAAAAGUUAAAAGAGUAUAAUCAGAUGUUCUCUUAAAAAAUUAUCCUCUCUGUUCCUAUCUUUCCCUCGUUAAUAGGAGUCCUUAAUGCGGAACAGCAUGUUAAAGUUAAAAAAUCGUAUUACUUUGAUACCAUACUAACACUUUUUAUGGAAAAAGUCUGUGAAGAUAAAUAAUUUCUGUCUUCUGUGAAAUAGAGAUAAUUUGAGGAAGCGAUAUAGAAUAUGAGGGAAGUUAUAUCUCUUUGUUAAAGCAUUUAAUAACAGCUCAUCUAAGAAAUUUAGGUGAUGGUCUAGAGUUGCAUAUAUCAUGUAGAUACGCAAUGCUAUUUUGCGCUUCAAAUCUGAUUGGCUAAACCUAUCAGACCCAAAAAAGAAAACUGUAGAUGAUCAGAAGAUAGAGUUUGACUGUCACUGUGAGUUAAGCUUAAUAUGUUAUGUGCCAUCCAGAUCUGAAUGACUAAAAUAUCAGUCCCAAAAUAACAUGUAGUAUGUAGAAAAUCAGGAACAAAGUUUAACUAUCCCUGUGAAUUCAAUAUUCUCUUAUGUGCCAUAGUCAGAUAGAUAUACCACAUUUUGGUCUUUGUUGCAAAAUGUAAAAAAAAGGCAAAAUAGAACUAUAGUUCUUGAAUAUAUUAUUGAUAUCUUCUAGUAGUUUGGGCGAUGUGCAAAUUUGUGUUAAACCAGUAGUGCAUUAUACAAGGGUGAUAUGGCCUUAGAUCAUUAUAAGAAUGAUGUUUAUUCCUGUUUUAAGCUUUUAAGUUAUAAUUGGGUAAGAGAGCUGUAUUUGGAAUAACUAUGCCAUUUACUAGAAGUUUUGUGUUCAAACCUUAAUAAUAUCACUUUACCAAAUAUUCUUGAAUUAUGUUAGACUGUGUACCUUUUUAGCACGUUGUUUGACAUGUAUAAAAUAUGUCUUCCCAGUAUUCUAUAAAAUAGUAUGCUUAUACAAUUAAAGGCUCCGCUUGUUUGCUGUAAAAUAACUUCUGGGCAAACUUUUCUUAUGAAAAAACUUUCUGAGAAAUGUUUUUUCUUAGAAAACAAUUUGCUGGAACGAAAAAUACCUAAAAUUUUAAGUGAUACAAUUUUGUAAGUAGUAGGCAACAAGUGAUUAUAGCAAAUUAGAUGAUUAUAGUACCUGUCUCAAGUAAGAUACCUUAGCCUUUACAUAAAGUUCAUGUUCAACAUGCUGUUUUUUAAAUCCAAAAAUCAAAACAAGGCUAUACUCUGGAAAAAGGAAAGGAAUUCUUAUGCCCUUAUUACUAUGUUAUGGAAGCUAUUAUAGAUGGAAGAGUGUGGGUCAAGUUCGAUGGACUCUAACCGGAAAAUGUAGGCAGCUGCAUGCAGAUCCUAUAAUGCGAAACCAUGCAGCAUACACUCCAAAUUCAGAUAUCUGUGCAGAAUUAGCUGAAUAAGAAAUGAGGGUUGGUAACACAGGAAAAAGUAAAAGCUAACUUAGAUGAGUGUAAAAAAGUUCAUCUCAGAGUAACAGACUCGAAUAUCUCCUAGUUGGUAUAGAAUUAAGCUAACUACGCAGAUUAACCAUAGAGUUUUUUAAAAUUCUAAGACACUCUUACGAACUUUCCUAAGUUGUAAUAUCAAUUUACAAUUUAUUGAGCCAUACGGUCAUCCUAAUCUUAAAUUUUUUACAAAAUUGCAGGUGCGGUCCUUGCAAAAUUAUAGCUCCCAAAUUGGCGGAACUGGCUCAGGAGUAUUCUGAUGUUGUCUUUUUAAAGAUGGACUGCAACCAGGACAACAAGGUUGGUUGUCGUUACCCUUGAUAACUUAACCUCCCACUUUCUAUAAACUAGUUAUUUCUCUAUUUCUGAUAUGUUCGUAUUCGAUCAUGUAUCUUAUGGUGCAUCUUUUCUUAUUUGUCAAUUGCCAGCCUCUGGCGAAGGAGCUAGGAAUAAAGGUGGUUCCGACUUUUAAGAUAAUUAAAAAUGGUGAGAUUGUUAAGGAAGUAACUGGUGCCAAAUUGGAUAGAAUAGUAUCUGCGAUUGAGGAAGUUCGAUCCAGUUAAGAAUAUUAUCUUGCUUCCAGAACAUAAUCGUCACCAUGUAAAGUUCUUCUAUUGUCAUUGCUAGCCUGUUUAUUCGAUCUCCAGAUGAUUUUCAUUGUAUUUUAUGUCCUUGAUGCUCGUACUCGUGUAUGUAAUUCAUCUUCUAGAAAGGAGGUUGAUGCUCUUUGAUUUGACCUGGUCUACCACAUCAUCUACUUUAUCCAGGGGCAUACUGUUUUGAAAUUUAAAAAAUUGGUACUGACAAAUACAUACUGUGCCCAGUAAGAUAAAUGUGUAAUACAAGUUGAUCCAGAUUUAUAUUUAUAUUGUGAAGUUUCAAAUUCUAGUAGUGACAAAUCUAUACAUCUUAAUUUAUGUUCUACGGCUAGUAAGAACACUUUUCUGGUGAAAAAGCUUAGGGCAGCUUCGAGGUUUGCUUUCGAGCUUGCUUAAAUUGACUGAAUCCGAAUGAGAGACCGAAUGAUGCAAGUGUUUUCAGAUAUAGUGACUGGUUUCACUUAACCGAGACAAGUAGAGAAUUGUUUCAGAAUUCAACAGAAAGUCUGCUUUUUUUAAAUCUCUGUUUCAAGAAACAGACCUUGUUCCUUGAGUUUUAAAGUUUACAGUAACUUCAACCAGUGAUUACAUAUCUUUCAACAAGAAUAACUUUUAAGUGGAUCCUGCAUACGUACAAGAACCAUUGCGGAAUUUAUGAAAGUACUUGCACAUUAAGCUCAUUGCCAACUUCAACUGUCUGAUAAUUUAAUCAACAAUCACACUGCUGCAUCCUCUACUUGGUUUCCACACAUCGGUUGUGUCCUUUAUCAGAGAGGUGAAAGCAGGAUGCAUGUGUUAUAAUCUAUGAUGAAGGGUCCUGCACUAUAGACUGUGCGUAGAAAUGAAAGGAGGAGGUGGUGUAACAAUUGAAGUGGUCAUUUCUGUUUUCAAACCAUUAACAUGCCGAAUUUGAAUUUAACCCUUUAUGUUUUCUGGAUAAUUAAGUUUCCUGCAAGUUUAAGUAACUAUAAAUUUAGUAAACUAAAUUUUACCUAGGAAUUGCUCUUGGAGGAUGAAAAGUUUGUUAUGACUUGGUCCUGACAUGAAUGAGCAUUAUGCUUUUCUGGCUUAGCAGGACAAAGUUGAACUUUUCUACAGUCAAUAUUGAAUACAAGUCUGUGGUACUUUUUGUUUUUGCUAAGAAAACUACAUAGACAAAUGUUUGUUUCCCAUUUGUUCUCCUACAUAAGAAUAAGUUUCCUGAGCUCAUUUAUCUUUUAUGAGACCAAAUAUACAUUGAACUCCAUGGCUACUGCAGUCUGGGAUCUUGUAUUGUAUCCUGUUCACUUGCACUCGAUACACGUUAUGAACAAGAUUCAUGCACUGAUUUGAUGCUUCAUAGACGACGCGUUUAAUAAAAACAUAUUUGUCACUUCAACUAUUGGAAUAAAGAGUGUAGGCUCUGCAGUAACCAAUGCCUUAGUCAAGUACUGAAAUACAAAAGUCUGCAACCUUAUCCUCACAUUGCUCAUAUGAAUUCCCCCACUGUCACAACUAUACUAGAACUCUCCUGAAAUAAAAUUAAGUUGAAUCUGAAAUAUAACUACUGCAUUCUUUUGAUGCUCCUAAAUACGUACUCUAGUAAGUAUAACGGAUGCUCUCCCGCUGUUAAACAAACAACUUGGUAUAAAAUGAUAAUAUGAAACAAAUUGAAAUUCGUAAAUAAAUUAGCAAAAAAAAAAGCAAAAUAAUUGCUGCUUGAUGAUUUUGUUUAUUAGAUUUUAUUAAAUUCGCAAAGUAUAUAUUCCAUGAUGCCAGAAUUUACUAGUGAAUGGCUCUGCGGUCUGGAUCCUGGUAUGAAUUUUCUAGGUUGGAGAUGUUAUUUUCCAGACUUCCAGUGCAGGAUGGCCAACUUUUUCCAGACUUCCAGUCAAUCCUGUAAGCUGCAAACAAACUUUUUCCAUCUAUAAAUUUGUAAUCUUCUGCAUUGAGGUUUACUAUGAGCUCUCUCUUGAGCAAAGCAACACUAAUCAUGCCAACUUUCGCCACUGUUUCAUAUUUCCUAUGUCUUUUUCUGUUAGUCCUACCCACGUUUGCAGCAGCAGCUCAUACGUUGUUGUUUCAGGUACAUAAAGUCAGCAAUUCCUUAGUUCUGACAAUUUGCCUAUUUCAUUAGUAGUAUAUAGGAGUUUGCAUGUCUCUGAUAUGCAAUGGCAGAAAUAUUAAAUUCUUGGGUAAUCUUGAAAUAUCAGUGAUAAUUUUAGUACUAGGCAUUUCAGGACUUCAGAAUUCUGGCUGAUAUACCAUGUGUAACAUUUGUUAAUUUGUCAUGAAAGGGAUACAACUGGGCGUCAUGCGAUAAGCCAGGAGGGCUGUACAAUUCAUUAAUCAACUCUGUUGCUGAUCUGGCUGCUGCUGGGAUUACCCAUGUUUGGCUCCCUCCACCUUCUCAAUCUCAAGAAGGCCAUCCUCAAGGUUCAUCUCUUUCUCCGGGUUUUUCCUUACAUUUCAGUCGAUUACAGAAGUUUAAAUAUACGUGUUUGAAGCGUUCUAGACGUGACCAUUUCAACAUGGCCAUUCUGAAGUAGCUAGAAUGACUUUAACACGUGAAAGUUUUUAGCUUUGCUUCUACAAUUGCAUGGACCAUAUUUUUAGGUUCCUCUAAAAUCUUCGAAAAAUCUCCAUUCUCAUGCGACGAGCAUGCAUUUAAUGCUAUUUCUCAUGCCACUGCAUUCUUGUCAUAUUGCUUGUUUUCUUCUCCUUUGUUCAGGAUAUAUACCAGGAAGGCUCUAUGAUCUCGACGGGUCUAAAUAUGGCAACAAGGAGGAACUAAAAGCACUGAUUAAAGCUUUCAGUGACAAGGGAGUUAAAUGCAUUGCUGACAUAGUAAUAAACCACAGAAGCUUGGAGAAACAAGAUUCCUGCACUUUUGAGGGAGGAACUCCUGAUGAUCACCUUGACUGGGGCCCUUCUUCCAUUUGCAACAACGACGAACAAUAUCCUUGUGGCACGGGGAAUCCAGAUACUGGAACGCAGUUCAAUUUAGCUCCAGAUAUAGACCAUCUCAACCCGAGGGUACAAAGAGAAUUGUCAGAUUGGAUGAACUGGCUCAAAACUGAAAUAGGAUUUGUUGGCUGGAGAUUUGAUUUUGCCAGAGGGUAUGCUCUGAGUAUUACCAAGGUCUAUAUGGAAAACACAAAACCUGAUUUUGCUGUUGGUGAGUGGUGGGAUGAUCUUGCUUACUGGAAAGACAGGGAACUAGACAAUAACCAAGACAAGCAUCGCAAUGAUAUAGCUCAGUGGAUUCAGGCUAGUGGUGGCGUUGUCACAGCGUUUGAUUUCACAACUAAAGGGAUCCUUCAAAAAGCUGUCAAGGAUAAUGAGCUGUGGAGAAUGAAGGACUCCAAGGGAAAUCCUCCAGGUUUGAUAGGAAUUUCACCUGGAAAUGCUGUGACCUUCAUCGAUAAUCAUGAUACUUUGUCUCAGCAGGUCUGGCCAUGGCCAUCUGACAAAGUAAUGCUGGGAUACGUAUACAUCCUAACUCAUCCUGGAAUUCCAUCAAUAGUAAGUUGUACAUAAUUAUACUAAUCAUUCUGCAAAUCUUUAAUUUGCUGCUGUAUAUGAACUGAUAAGAGUUGCUUAACACUAUUUGCAGUUUUAUGACCACUUCUUUGAAUGGGGAUUGAAGCCGGAACUCUCUAAUUUAACAUCAAUCAGAAUAAGGAACGGAAUCAGUGCAACAAGCACUGUGCAGAUUGUGGCUUCUGAAGCUGACCUUUAUGUAGCAAAAGUCGACGACAAAAUAUAUGUAAAGAUUGGAUCAAGGUUUGCUGUGGGAGACCUCGUUCCGCCUAAUUAUAAAGUGUCUACCAAAGGAAAGGACUAUGCUGUCUGGGAGAAAAAUUAAGUCCAGUACUCUUGUAUGUCUAAUAAAGUUUAAGGCUUCAGCCUUUAAGUAGUGAGUUUUCUGGCCUUUGCACUGGUGCAGCUGCUCUAUUGUUCUUCAGCAAAGGAAUUGAAUAAAAUUUUACUGCAGUAACUUCUAUUACUUUUUUACAUGUAGUGAAAAAAGGAAUGGCUUAUAAAUAAGAUUAUAAUCAUGAAUGAGCUAGAAGCAAAAUAAGUUAAACAAUGUAAAGAUCAUUAUAACAAGGAAUGCAGUUCCCCAGUCAUAUCCUUCUCCUUGAUAGAACAUCCCAAGCAAAACCAUGAACAUCACAAUGAACAAUAUAAAGCCAUAUCCAAAAUUUCCAUGAUCUGCAUCUCUGUCAUAUCCGUAGUCAUCGUCAUCAUCAUAUAUUCGUCUCCCACUACCAUUACCGAACAUUCCAGUACUAAACACAUAGAUAAGUAUAAUCAAAAUAAGGGGACCAAGGAGUGUAGUGGAAACCAUGUACACCACAAGAAUCAACAUCAAUGGUACUAUAAUCGACUGAGUAGUGAAGACGAGUAGGAGGAGGACUAGAAUGGGUAUGAUCACGAGGAAAUCAAGACUCAUUUUCUCAAACUCAGAGACUGAUGAGACACUGCUUAUGACAGAGUUUCCAUAGAUGAUGUACCAUAAGGCGACUACCAUCAGAAAUGGAAUUACUGGAGAUGGUCCGACGUCCACCAUUUUGCUUCUGAUCGUCGCAGUGUUCUCUGAUAUCUAGGAUGAAUCAGCAGACUUAUAAUCAUAUGCAAGUAGUUUGAUGGAAUUAGGAUGAGGGUAGUUUUGAAUAAGGUGUAGCUAUUUGAGAACAUUGUUGGUGAAUAUGAGUACGUGUUUUGUGCAUGAAUUUUAGUCCCUACUUCUCCUGGUUUAAGUGAGAAGAUAGAUGACAACAAGGUUUGGCUUUAAAGCAUCAACAAAAAUAAGAUGUAACAUAAUACAAGCAAAGAGAUACUAGUUCUAAACAAAUUUAAGUGCACAACAUAAGAUUUCUCCAAGAUAGAAAAGGCCCGUAAUCAUGUUCCAGCAAGUUUCGACCUUUUACAUGUAUUAAUUUCAACUCUUGAAUAUUUUUCAUCGACUCAAUAGACCAUGAAGCUGUGAUUCGCUUUCCAUGACAAUUGCACAACAAAAUCAGAAAGGACCAUACAUUGUGAGAGGGAGAGUAAUGUAUACUGAAUAUCAACAUUAUCACACUGAAAAAACUCAAAGCAAUAUAUACUGAGAAUCUAACUGUACAAAACAUCAACCCUCCAUACACCAGAGAGAGAGGACUGACUUCUGGACAAACAUUAGUGACCCUACAACCCAUCUAAUGGUUACAUCCUCCCUGAUUAAAUACCAACAGGAUCCUUUUUAGUGGCCACUGGCUACACACUUUUGCAUCAUCUUCUCUGGGGGUUAGUUUACAGAGGCAGAAUAUAAAUUGUUUGAGUGUGAGUCAAAUUAAUAUUGGUUAGUUUUUGGAAACUAUAAUUUUGAUUAUGAUUAGUUAUAAAAUAUUUUGAGUUCAAUUUUAAUUAAUCAAAUAUUUAUCUUUAACAACCUAAUACAACACCUAUAUUUUAUAACAAUUAAUUAUAUAUUUGAAAAUUAUUUAAAUAGCUUAAUGAACCACUAGUUUACUUUUAUAUAUUAAAUGAUAAAUGAUAGUUAAGUAUAAGAUGAAUUAAAAAAAAGUGCCGAAAUGUGACCAAAAAUAAGUACCAAAAGAUUAACGGUGUGCAUGAGACUAUGAGAGUAAGAUUGCCAGGAAGGAAGGAGGGGUUAUGCAAUUUUGAUUCUUACCAAAAGUGCAGUUGAAAGAAGUGAUAUUCGAGGGGACAUAGAUUUAAGUGUAUAUAUAUAUCAUAUAUAUAAUAUUUAAAUAUUAAAUAAAAUUUAUAGAUGCAAUAUUGAAAUCAAAUAGAAUUAGAUUUUAUAAAUUAAAUAUGUUCUCUACUCUUUACAUGCUCUAAACAAUAUAGAAGAAGAUUUUAUAAAAUUUAAAUAGAAAUAGAUUUUGUAAUCAAAAUAUGAUUUUUUUUAAUGUUUAGAAAAUACUAAUCAUGAUAUGUUAUAAUUUGAUAUACAAAUAUAUAUUAUAAAAAUAAAUAUUCAUAAGUAAUUAAGAUAUAUUUAUAUUUUAGAUUGAUUUAUAUUUGAACACUUGUCUAUAAAUACACACACACAUAUAAUAUUUAAAUAUUAAAUAAAAUUUAUAUUUUUAAUUUUUGAAGUCAAAUAGAAUUAAGUUUUCACAAAUUUAAUAUGUUACUCUUUACAUGUUCUAAAAAAGAUUUUAUAAAAAUUAACUAUGAAUAGAUUUUGUAAUUAAAAUAUGACUUUUAUUUUUUAAAUAUUACGGAAUAAAUACAAAUCGAGAUAUCUUAUUAUUUAUACAAAUAUAUAUAUUUUUAAAAAAUAUACACAAAUUAUUAAAAUAAAUUAAUAUAUUAGAAAACAUUCAUAUGUCAUAAGCUAAUACAUAUUUUAAUAUAUAUAUAUAUAUAUAUAUAUAUAUAUAUAUAAUAUAAUAAUAAAGUAGAGUAGAUUAAUGUAUAUAUAUAUAUAUAUAUACAUAUAUACAUAUAUAUAUAUAUACAUAUAUAUAUAUAUUAAAACUAGUCUCUUCCUAGCUAGUCAAAAAAAAAUUCAAAAAAAAAAAUCCACUGCCACGUCAUCAGUGUUUUUUUUUUUUGUUUUUUUUUUCGGCUAGCUUAAUGAUAUACAUUUUUUGUGAAGGUGCCCCUAGCGGGGCCCUUCAAAUGAAUGAGAUUUUGAUAAAUUAAAAAAGUUCUCACGGCUCUCAUUUUAAGAAAUUUCUCAUUUGAGCAAGUGCCUAUAUAUAUAUAAUGAUCUUGACGUUUCUUCAGCAACAGAAGCGUGUAUCAUGCAAUUAUGAAAAAAUAUUAUGUACAAUCUUAUUGCACAUAGUAAUAUUCUGAUUGAUUAUGUGUAAUUCUAUAUUCCUAAACUACCCCUUAUCAACUAGAUUUAAUUGCUUAUUUUAUAAAUUACUGAUUAUAUCAUGAUUAUAAGAUCAACGGUAGAUAGACGGGUUCCUCAGUUUUCUUGAUAAGCUGGGUUUUCUUAGGAUCUUCCCCAUAUAUAUAUAUAUAGGCUUUUAUUCUAUGGAGACUCAUUUUAUAUGGAGUCCAAUGGAGAACCACCUCCAUUGAUCUUGACCAUCAAAUCAGAAUUACAUCUAACGGUUACUAUAACAGAUAAUAAAAAUUAAGAUAUUAUUACAUAUAAUUUGUUACAUCUGUUAUUUUUUCCUCUCUCUUCUCUCUCUCUUCUCUAUCUCGCUAGCGGCUCUUUCAUCUCUGUCGCGUGUUAUCUCCCUGGAGGCCGUUGUUCUCAUCUCUCUUUAGUUUAAACCACUAUGACAUGGCGUCUUCAACAAAUGAAGCUCAUUCAUCCACUAUCAAGCUCAGAUUUGUGAUAAUGUCGAUUUAACUAAUUUAUCAGGUUCAUUAUCUCUCUCCCUUGAUUUCGAUUUUGUUACACUUACAAUUAUCUCUCUACAUCUCUGUUGAUUUUGAUUUUGAUUUUGAUUUGUUAUAUGUUAAAUUUUAAGUUUUAUUAUUUCUCAGAUAUGUUUUAGUUUCGAUUGAUAUUAAUUUUGCCUGGUUCCGUUGUAGAAUCAAAUCAAUUCGUUUUACUUUUAAGGUUUUAGUUGUAUUGUUCCUUAUUGCUCUCGCUCUCUGUUGAUUUUGAUUUGUUAAAUGUUGAAUAUCAAGUUUAAUUAUUCAUCUGAUAUGUUUUAGUUUAAGUUUGUAUUAUUAUUUCCUGAUCUUGUUCUAGAAUCAAUCAGUUUGUUUUAAUUAUUUAGUUUUUAGCAGUAAUGUUGCUUUGGUUCUACUGGGGAAUCUUUUUUGUAAAUAAUAAAGUUUGUUGGUUCUAUGGUAGAGUCAAAAUAAUAAUUUUCCUAAAUAUCUACUUUUGUUAUAGUUUAGAUUCCACUGUAGAACCAAAUAAUGUUUUACGAAUCAGUUCCAAAGGUAGAAGUUUUGCUUACAAACUAUGUAUUCUUUUAGAUUAUAUUUUUUUACUUGCUUGCAAAUAUACUGCCAUGUCGAGUUCAGUAGACACUUGAGUUUUAAUUUACACGAUUCCACUGUUAGCUCUCUGUUCUGAGCGGACUUUUGUCAAGAGGUGUCAUAAACUAGAGCUGAUUAAGUCAGGGGCUGAAAUAUUAUUAGCAAUUUGUUCUUUGUAGAUAUCAUCAGAUCCCUUCUCUUUUGCAUUAUAUUGAAGGCUUCCCUAUUUCAUGUAAAGGAUUCUAUUUACAUUCUUUGGUUUUUCUUCUAGUUAGGAUUUUGUUAUACUCCGUAUGUUUUAUAUGUUUUUUACAUUUUUCUUGAUAAGCUGCAUUUAUAGAUGUUACAAAUGUAAAGUUUUAAAACUCCAAGCUGGCACUUGGAAAAGUAAUUCAUUUUUCAGAACUAUAUACUCUUGAAUAGUUACUGAUAAAUGAUAAUUUAUGUAUAGAACUGGUGCGAAUAGAUAGUUUACUCGAAUCUUUUGCUCAUAUAUUUCUGAAUAGACGUUCUUUAUUCUUCUGAUAUUUUUAUUUGGAAUUUGUAGCCACUUACAAGAUGCUUGAUGUUUAUGUAUCACGUGUUUAAACUAGGUUUGUUUCAAGCUUUUACAUUUUUUUUUAUUCUCCCCACAAAUCACAUAAUUCAUUCUCAUAUGUACUUUGAUAAUUUACUUGUAUUACUUUUAUGAUCAGCACAUGUCCAACAUUGACUGAAGUUUUUUGUUUCUUUAUUUUAUUCCAGAUAUAUGCUCGUAUACUUUUCUAUCUUGCAUCUUCGUUAUCAUGCUGGUCUCGUCACCGAUGAAAUGCUUUCUUUGCCAAAAACACCAGAUAUUAUUGAAGUAUAUCUUUGUGAUUGUUGCAGUUUCUGAUGCUAUUGCAGAUCUUUUUGAGAGUGUUAGAAUGAUAUUUGCAGCUGGGGAGAAGGAGAGGACUGAAGGUUCUGCAGGAUUCAUAUUGGUUACAUCCUUUACAAUGUCAAAAGUACACUCUUUUCUGGUCUCUGAGGGUGUAAGCCCAACUGAUUUUGAUGCUUACAUCUGUAAUAGUGGUGCAGAUCUCUAUUAUUCAUCUCCUCAAUCAGAAGAGAAUCCAUUGUUGUUGAUUUGUAAGUAUUUAUGUUUCUCUUGUUAUCUAAGAAGCAUCUCAAAUAUAUUUUUCUUUCAAUCAAAUGCUCAUCUGUUGUUGGUAACUCUUUCAGAGUGCCGGGGCGUCUAUGUGUGCGGAGCUUGAGGCAACUAUUUUUCCAAAGGGUGGGAAAGUGAUUGGUACUACUACAAACACAUCCCGGAAGAGCUCUGUAGCUGGGAACAGUCCUGGAGUUCGACUAAUUUUAAUAAGAAGAUAGAUGAGGCUAUUAUCAUUGGUCACUUGCAUAGGCUGAAUGAGAAGAAUAUAUCAGCUUAGAACAUGAAAAUAUAAGUUUACUCAAAUAUAAGAUUGUGCUAUUUUUUCAUGCUUGAUGUAAUUAUGUAUAUCAUAUUUUCCCUGUAUAUCUAUGUCCGUGGAGACAUUAGACAUGGUUUUCGCAAUUGCUUUUUGUCGCAAAAGACCAGUGGAUUCAUUAAGGCUUUGGAUUUGUUAAAUGUUAAAUUUUUAGUUUUUUAUACAUCUGAUAUAUUUUAGUUUAUAUUUGUAUUAUAUUUUGUUGGUCUUGUUUUAGAAUCAAAUCAGUUUAUUUAAAAUUUUGAUUUUUAGCUGUACGGUAGCUUUGGUUCUACUAUGAAAUCUUCUUUUUUGUAAAUAAUGUAGUUCGAAAUUAUUUCUUGAAUUUAGAUUCUAUUGUAGAAUCAAGAUAGUGAAUUUAUUAAAAUUUUAAAUUUUUUUCAUAGUUCUGUAUUGUAGGCUUUGUUCUACAAUGGAAUCCUUUUUAACAGGUCCUAAUUAAGAAAAUACAGCAUGUAUAUUUAUGAUGUUGUUUUAGAAUCAAGACAUUAUCCUUGAUUAAUAUUAAUUAAUAUUGUAAGUUUAAUUUAUAAUUUUUAUUUAUAAUUUUUAUGUUUGAUUUUACUAUAGAUGCAAAACAACGGUCAUUAUUUUCAAUAAAGUAAAUUAACAGUCGUUAAUAUUUAGGGUUUAUAUUUGGAUUUUAUAAUGAUUAAUUUAUAACAUUUAUACUUGAAAUUAAAUCGGCUAAUGGUUAGGGUUUAGAAAAAUAUGGGACAAUAUUUUUUUAAUUUUUUAUUUCAUAAAAACAUAAAGAAUUUUUAAUUUUUAUUACUAGUUGGAAACUAAUAAUAUAGGAAGACUUAUCUUGAUUCUAAUGUACAAGCAAAAUAACAAACAAUCAUUUGUAAUUGUCAAGUUAUUUUAACAAGUUUGAAACUAUCAUGGAAUCAAUUUAAUUUAAUUGUAUGGAUACGUGCUACUACAGAAUGAUAAUUUACAGUUUAAAAUAUAUUAUUAUUUCAAGAAUUGAUUCUAGCGUAGAAUCAAACUAAUCCAUUCUAUAAUAAUUUUUUUAAUUUACAUGAAAAUUCUAUAGAAAUUUGCAAGAAAAUCUUUUCAAAUUAUAUUAAAAGAAUUAUAAAUAAGCUUGAAAAUUUUUAUGAUUAAAAUAUGAAGACUGUUAGUCUUCAUAAAGAUGCAAGAAAAUUUUAUUAUUAACGUCUCAUAUUCACUGCUGUAUAUAUCAUGACUACACAUAAAGUCAACUUCACAACUUUACAUAAAGACAAUUUUGAGUUAUACUCUUAUUAACUCCUGAUGAGCUAUUUAACUGUUAUUGAGCUCCUGAUGAUCCUGAUGAGCUCAUCAGGAACUAAUAUACUACCAAACUCCGAAUGAUGCUAAAAUACUAAAACUCCUGAUGUACAAUAGCGCCAACAUUCUGCAAGUGAGGAACCGCCGCCAUGAUCUGAUCCUCUUCUACUGGCUUUAGGUAGAUGAUGCUCGACUAAUGGUGACCCUGAGAGGCUCUCAAUCACAUAUUGAUCAAACAAUGCAUCCUGAAUUCGAUCUAAGAAACUGCUAACAUGAAACGAUGAAGCUAGAACCUUAACAAACAGUGUCUUUACAAACCAUAUCAAAGUCCCCACCAUGAAACAAACCCAAGCUUUAGUCACGUAACUUAAGGCCUUACCAUGAUCAACCAACACGAAUCUCCAAAAAAUCAAAAUCAAAGCCAACCAAAUACAAUUCCUGACAGCAUGCCUUAAGUCAUAAACAAAAUAACGUACACGUUUCCACAACAUACAAUUAAGCUCAACAAAAAAUACCACACCCGAAUGACCCAACCUGCAGCCAGUCUCAUUUCCAAAUCAAUCCAAAUCCAUAAUUAAUAAUCCAAAACCAACAAUAUUCAUAUCCAGGUCUAAUCGUAGUCAUACCAAAGCAUAUCCUCAUAAAACUUUUAAGAGACCAAAAGUCUCAUGCUUUACACAAGCCAGUUAUAUAAUUAUAUGCACUUAUAUUAGUUAUUUUACAUAAAGAUGUAAUCAAAUGAGGCAAACCUGGAGGGCCUUAAAAAAGAACAGCUCGGGGUCUGUUUGUCUCAAACUUGCACCUGGUUCCACGAGCAAUAUCAUCAUACACUUCGGGACUGUGUAUGGCAAUAAUAUGGUAUCUUCUAUUUCCCCGUGUAAAAAGUAAAAACAGAUAAAAUGAGAAGUCUCAGUUGACUUUUUCUUUGAAAACCAAUUGACAAGUAUAUGUGUAAACAAUUCAUUACAUAGCAAGCUCUAUAGUAUACACGCCAGUAUGCCAUCAACCAUAAUAUGAUGCAUACCUUUUCUGCUGACUAUAACCAGCUAUAUUUUCCCAUGAAAUUUCACUUUUUGACUCCCCCAUAUUAGGUUCGUCUACUCCAUAGAUUUUAAUCCCCAUGGCCUCAAGACUAGAAAUAGACUUUCCUUUGGAUGGCAUUUGUCCUGGACUUCCCCUUCGCCUUUGUUCCAGGAAUUUGUUUUGCGCUGCCAACUGCAAUAAAGACACGAAAGCAUCAAGCUCCUCAGGACUAAAACUUUCAUCCUUCAUGAACUCAAUUUCCUGUAUCAAUUUGUACAAACAAUAACUAAAAAAAAAUCAGUAUUGUUCUCUUUUCCUCCGAAAGAUAGCAUAUUAAAUUAAAGAAAUUCUGUUUUAUUUAAUGGACUGAGGUGAAAAUUUACUGCUUUAUCAGAGCUGAUGAGUGAACGGAACAUGAGAAUGCAUAUAUUUUCAUCUUCCUCUUCCUCUGACCAUAGAGAUCUGAACUUCUAGGAAUUUCAGACCAUGAAGAGCGCUGAGCAGCAGGUCAGUCAAACAGAAAGUGAGGAUCUCAGCCUUUAUUCCAGUUGUUAACAUAAUUUUGUUGAUCAUUUAAACUGAAUUUGACAGCCUCCGAAACUGCAAGAGUUGAACAAUAAUUUUGUUAUUAGUUCCCUGGAAAGUCAAUACCAAAUAGGAGGAUUGGAUCAAUCAAGUCAAGAUAUGGACAAGUUUAUCCAAAGAAGCUGCAAAAAUGAGCCUCCAUUCUCCUCUGAUAUAAUAGCAAGAGAAAGAAAGAAAUGCAAAUUGAUACACAUAAUAUAUAAGCUCUUCUAAUAUUACACCAAGUACUCAUUUCGAUGUAUUUCGUAUAGUACUCAUCAAAUACGAGAUUUUUUGCUAGCUGGCUGAUAUCAUAAUAAAGAAUAAUGAGUGUCAUAUUUGUGACACCAAGUUCUUGUAGACGGCAUACAAGCCAAGUAAUUUUUACAAGCAGCUGAAUCCAAAGCAUGACAUUUGGCCUCAAAAGUGGACUAGAUACAAUGUUUUGCUUCUUAAAUAUUUACAAAAUCUGAGAAUUAGCAAACAACAUGAGGAAGCCAAUUAAUAAUAUUCUAGUAUCAGGGAAAUAAGCUCACUCUGUAUCUUGCUUGCAAAGUUAGAGUAUCUGUAGCUUUGAAAAUAAUGUCGUGACACGCUGUGUGACUAAAUAUCGGAGAGUAUGAGCUAGUGAGAUACUCUAACUAAUAAUAGUUCAAGCUGAAUUUUCGACGAUGACGCUAAACAUACAAUAUCAAGAGGGAAAUCAAAUCUGUUACUAAGCCAUGUUCGAUCAGUUGCAUCUGGCCAAACUAAUCAAACUUAUGAAAAUCUGAAAAAUCAAGACUCGGAUAUAAUGAAACCCAAAAGAUCAUUUUAGACCUAUGAAUUCCAGUGGCUAUCCCACAGCAAAAUACCAAAAUAUAAAAUACAAAAAUUAAAUAGUAAUUUUUUUCUGAAAUUUAAAAAUUCUUGGGGUUUAGGGACAUACUUAACAACAUAAGAAAUAAUGCUUCCACUGUAGAACACAAAAAACAUACACGAAAUCAAGUUUAUUCUAUUAUAGAAUCAUUGAAUUUAGCACCUUACAAAAUCACAGUUCUACAAAAUUUGGUUAUAUUACAGAAUCAUAAUUUAUCUACAGCUCCAUAAAUAUUGGUUCGUAUAGAAUCUUAAUUUCAUAACACCUCUCACUAUAGAAUCACAAUUUCUAUAAAAUUUUGUAAACUCCAUAAGUUCUGGUUCUAUUACAGAAUCUUUGUUUUAAAACGCCUUGUACUAUACAACCACAAUUCAAUUAAAAUUUGUUCUGUUACAGAAUCAUAAUUUAUCUACUGCUCCAUAAAUUUUGCUUCCAUUACAAAAUCUUAAUUCCACAAAGCAAGAGGUUAAAUAUGAAGAGAAAUUCCACUAUACAUGUCUGAACUAAACAAGGAGAAAAAACAAUUAGCAGACCUGAUUCAAAUGAAAUCAGAAUGGACAAGAUAUGUACCUUGACUGAUCGCUAGUGAAAAUUUGGCCAACGAACGGUAUCCAAGUCACCACUGCCGGUGAUCGUGCCCAUGCACCUACGUGAUGCAUAAAAGAACAUGUCAAGAAGAAACAGUUAACAGAUGCUUUCAAUUUUUAUAAGAGGACGCAACACUUAAUUUAGGAGGGUAUUUAGGCACCGAAAGAAUUAAAUCUACUACUCCCUCCGUCCCUUUUUAUUUGUCACAUUUGGUUUUGUGUCGCUCAAAUUGACUAAAGUUUGAAUGAAAUUUAUUAAUAUUCUAUCAAUUGACAAAAUAAAAAAAAUAUGUCACCGGAAAUAAAUUUUAAUCUACUUUAAGAUGUAAUUUUCAAUUUUUUAAAAUAAUGUGCGAGUGACUUAUAAUCUUUGGUCAAAACUUAGUCAAUUUGACCAACAAAAAUAGAAAUGUGACAACUAAAAAGGGACGGAAAGAGUAGCACUUAAAAUUUUUGUACGAUCCAUAGUCCAUACCUACAGACACUUGAUUCUUCAGCUAUAAUCACAAUUAUACAAAAUUUGUAGAAUCUUUGUUUUAAAACACCUUGUACUAUAUAACCAAAAUUCUACAAAAUUUGGUUCUAUUAAAGAAUCAUAAUUUAUCUACUCUUCCAUAAAUUUUGUUUCUAUUUCAAAAUCUUAAUUUUAAAACACAUCUUACUACAAAAUCACAAUUCUACAAAAUUUGGUUCUAUUACAGAAUCUUAAUUUUAAAAAACCUCCGACUACAGAAUCACAAUUCUACAAAAUUUGAUUCUAUUACAGAAUCAUAAUUUAUAUCUUCAAUUCAUUCACGCAACUUCAACCGGUUAAUAAAGACAUGAUAUACAUGCUUCUACUAUAGAAGCACAACUUCACAAAUUUUGAUUCCAUUAUAGAACAUUAAUUUUAAUACAAAAACAAGCAUUAACUAAAUUCAGACAAAAACUAAUUUCACAGAACUACAUUAAUGCUUCUACUCUAGAAUCAGAAUUUUACAAAAUAUGGUUCAAACCCUAAACUUUUAUAAAACACACAUAAAAAUCAAAUUAAUUAGCUUAUUUGUAUAUAGAAUCAGAACUAUGAAAUUAAUUCAGUCUUACAAACACAUAUGCAUGUAGAAUCAUACCUAACCUACAAAAAAACAUACACGUUUGUAUCUUGCUACAAUUUUUCAUAAAAACAAGUCGAAAUCAAAGAAUUGACGAUAACUAGUACCUCUUCCCCAACAUGUCCUACUCGAUGCUCAUGAUAAUUCACAGAAACAAGUUCAAAUCUGAGAAAAUAUGCUUACGAUAACCUCCCUGUUUCGUUUUCUUCUUUCCUCUCUCGCGCUCUUUCUCUCGCUCUCUCCGUGUGUAAUCGUGGGCAAGUGUGUGUAAGUGUGUAACUCUGGUUGUGUUUCAACUGUUUAUAUUUUUGUUUUAACUAUUUUAUUUAAUCAAAUCACAGCCGUUCCUUCAGAUUAAGGGUUAGAUUAGGGGUCUCCACGGUACUCCAUAUAAAAUGGGUCUCCAUAGAGUGGGACUCUAUAUAUAUAUAUAUAUAUAUAUAUAUAUAUAUAUAUAUAUAUAUAUAUAACAUUGGAGUAUUGGAGUACAAAUCAUAAUUUUUUAGUUUGAUCCUAUAUAAUAUCUUUGAUUAUCCAAAUUUUGAUAUAAUCUAUUAUUUAUAAGUUGUCUUGCACAUAAUUGACAAUUAAUCAUUAAUAUCUUUCAACUUUAACAAGUAUUAAGAUUAUUGUUCUGCUUAUUAGUUAUAUUGCAGAACAUAGAGUCCUAUGAUUUAUAAAAGUAAUUAUUCUAGCAUUUGAUCACGAUAUUUAUGUUGCAGAACAUGAUGUGCAGGUUGUCAAAUAUUUACAAAUAUUAUUGGACAAAAAAAAUUGAAAUUUAGAUGACUAGAUUACAUUUUAUCAAACUUUGUACUCCAAUACUCCAAUUUUUUUUGUACUCCAUAUAUAUAUAUAUAUAUAUAUGGGUCCUGUUCCCUGACAAUUGAUUGUCAGGGAAGAUUUAUCCAACAUACUAUUUCCCAGCCGUUGGAUCGACGAUCCAACGGCUGGGACAAAAGAUUUUUUUUUUUUUAGUAUCUGCGCUUUUUUUCCGCGGAUACUGUUCUUUCCGCGAGAUUGUAACGCGGACACUUCGGGGGUAUCCGCGCAUAUUAACCGCGGAUAACACAGAACACUGCGGUUGAUCUGAAAUCUUGCUCGCCUGUAGUUCUUGAUUGGUGUUUUGGUGGAGAUUUAUGCUUUGUUAGAGAUACGCAGCCUAGUCAGAGUAAAAAGGUAAAUUUGUAGUGAUUUUGAGAUUAGUCUCUCUCUCCCCCCUCUCUUUGCGUGUGUAUCAGUGUAUAUGUGUUUGGGGAAGGGGGUUGGGGUUUGGCACAUUAUUUGGUUUUUUUUUUCUGAACAAGAUUGGAUGGGUUUAUGGGUUAAUGUGUUUUUUCUGCUGUGUUAAAUUUUCAGUUUGUAUUAUGAAAUUCUUUUACUUGCUGAAAGUGGGGUGGUUAUUUGACUUUUGAUUAUUUAAGUAGGUAUUGUUGGAGAAGUGUUGGACUUUGUAUAAAUUUAUUGUCAUGUACUGAAGCAAGCCCACUGCUAUGUGUUAUCCGCGGUUAAUAUGCGCGGAUACUUCUGAAGUGUCCGCGUUACAAUCUCGCGGAAGGCACAGUAUCCGCGGAAAAAAAGCGCGGAUAGUAAAAAAAAAAAUCUUUUGUCCCAGCCGUUGGAUCGUUGAUCCAACGAUCCAACGGCUGGGAAACAGUAUGUUGGAUAAAUGUUCCCUGACAAUUAUCAAUUGUCAGGGAACAGGACCCCCAGAUAUAAUAGCUAUUAUUAUCAUAAAUUUUUAGUUGGGGCAAAUGACUUGAUUGUUCAUUGAGAGAUCAAAUUAAGUUGACCAACAAGGAUACUAUUCGCCACAUAAAAUAUUUAUAUAUCAAAUAACUUUUUAUAUUUUUAAUAAUAAAAAGUUACAUUGUAUUCAAUUAUUCAAUUAUCAUUAAUUUAGUAAGAGAAAAUAUACUAUUUCUAAUUUAGAGUAUAGGGCUGUCAAAUGUAUAAUGCCAAUGUAAAAAUCUGAUCCGUAUUUGAAUUUAUAUCUAAUAUUUUUAAAAUAUUAAUCCAAUUUUUGUUAUCUCCCUGUACAAGAACACAAAUGAUCGGCUCAAAAUAGAUGGAUACUUGGAGAUCAAAAGGCCCAUUUCUACUAAAAAGCACAGCUUGAAUGAAUCCUUGACACUGUUUUGGACCGAAUAAGGGGAAACCAUUAAUCAUUUUUUAUAUUUUGGCAAGUGAGCGGUGAGCCCAUUUAUACUCAAAAGCUGAGAAAGAGUGAUAAUCACGAAUUUUAAGCACUGAUUGUUAGUCAUGGAAAAGCAAGAUACCCUAAACGAAUCAAUAAUUGAUUUAACAAAAGUAAAUCGAAUAAUAAUAUUGAUAUUAUUAUAAAGCAAGACCCAACACUCAAAGUCUCUUGAAUUAUGUCUAAAAUGGUGAAGUCAGUGCUAGCUUUAAUGCAAAACACAAUGGAACUGGAAAAAAAUGAAGAGAAUAUCAAAGACUAUGUUUUUGAAAAGCUGAAAGAAGUGGUGGUUUUCUUGCAGUACUGGUGGGAAGAAGUGAUCCACUGGUCUGACAAGGUUUUUCCACCAGAUUCAAGAGCAGACACACUUAGCCACUGGGUUCAUGUUGCUACACCUUUUUUGAUAACAGGGCUUGAUAGGGUAUAACCCGGCUAAGCAACACCCGGGUCCUUUAGAGGAGCCCCACCCCGGGUAGCCACCAACACCACAGGGCAUCCCCAGCCUUGACAGGUGAUACAACCCGGAUAUGAUUGCUUACAAGGGUACAUGAAACUUACUACUCACCCGGAUACACAUGUACCAGCCGACACCUGCUGCACAAAGCACAGACUGACACAAUAAAGACAAACAUAACGGUCAACUACUGGCGAUAGGGACAAGCCAGGGAACAUUCCAAAAUACUACUUCUACGCUGACACCUGGACACGUGUAGGGGACCAAACCCCUACACGUGUAGGACCAGGAUCCAGGUACGCACCCUUGAACCCUAAUCCUUGGCCUAUAAAUAGACCAAGGAUCAAGAGUUUAAGGGUUAACUCUCUCUUCACACUCAUUUUACUCACACACUUGCACUCAGCACAUAUUCAAACACUCCAAGCCACCAACCACCAGCAACCACCACACACCACCUUCACCCACCACAUAUAGAUAACACACUUUCUCUAAUCUUUAUCCUUCCGAAACCUACGCUUACUCUCACGCCGGAGGCGCCGCGGGGUCAAAACCCCCCUCCGGUGUUGUUUUGUAGGCUCCCAUCCAGCAGCUACACCGCGGAAUCACCAGCCACGGCGGAGGAAGGACCGGGAUCGGAGAUUGGCGUUAUCAUUUGGCGCUAGAAGGAGGGGAAGGUGUCCUCUGUCCUGUCGUCACGGUGCCACUGGACUCAUCUCCUACAACAAGCCCCCGAAACGGGGGUCCGAAAUCACACCUGUAAGCUCUCACCAAACACCCAGCUUCUCAAAACCCUCAGCCAUGGCUUUUCUUGAUAUGUGCAUGAUAGAAAACCUUACCUGAACAAAACCCUAAAUUUGUCUGUAGUAGAGCAUGUUAGCAAACCCUGUCUGAGCAAAACCCUAAUCUUGUCUGUAGCACAUAAAAUCUUUUGUCUCACACCUGCACACAUUUUGUCACUUAACUAUUUGUGGUAUCUCUGAAAAUAGUAAGUUGACUACUUGUGCACACUAUUUUUGUCAUCCUGUCACUAUCUAUACUAUUUGUGGGCACUACCACCAAAACAGCAACCAUAUACCCUGUGUGAGUUCUUGAAACCAUGACAAAAAGGACACGCUCCCACCUGGGUCUUCCCCAGAACCCGGAUAACCCUCAGACAGACCAGGACAACCCGAACCAGGAUCAUGCCUCAGGACCUCUUUUCACACAUGUGAACCCGGAAGAGAACCAAACAAUCAACCCCAAUGAUGCACGAGUCACGAUCGAAGCAAACCAGUACAAGUACACCGAUGUCCCGGUCACCACCCUCCACCUGUCCCAGCUCACCAAUGUAGAGUUGGCCGAAGCCAUCCGGCAGUACCAUGAUCGCCGGGAAAACAACCGCAGACUUGAGGACAUCGGCGAACACGGCGGAGGAAGGACCGGGAUCGGAGAUUGGCGUUAUCAUUUGGCGCUAGAAGGAGGGGAAGGUGUCCUCUGUCCUGUCGUCACGGUGCCACUGGACUCAUCUCCUACAACAAGCCCCCGAAACGGGGGUCCGAAAUCACACCUGUAAGCUCUCACCAAACACCCAGCUUCUCAAAACCCUCAGCCAUGGCUUUUCUUGAUAUGUGCAUGAUAGAAAACCUUACCUGAACAAAACCCUAAAUUUGUCUGUAGUAGAGCAUGUUAGCAAACCCUGUCUGAGCAAAACCCUAAUCUUGUCUGUAGCACAUAAAAUCUUUUGUCUCACACCUGCACACAUUUUGUCACUUAACUAUUUGUGAUACUUCUGAAAAUAGUAAGUUGACUACCUGUACACACUACUUCUGUCAUCCUGUCACUAUCUAUACUAUUUGUGGCACUACCACCAAAACAGCAACCAUAUACCCUGUGUGAGUUCUUGAAACCAUGACAAAAAGGACACGCUCCCACCUGGGUCUUCCUCAGAACCCGGAUAACCCUCAGACAGACCAGGACAACCCGAACCAGGAUCAUGCCUCAGGACCCCUUUUCACCCAUGUGAACCCGGACGAGAACCAAGCAAUCAACCCCAAUGAUGCACGGGUCACGAUCGAAGCAAACCAGUACAAGUACACCGAUGUCCCGGUCACCACCCUCCACCUGUCCCAGCUCACCAAUGUAGAGUUGGCCGAAGCCAUCCGGCAGUACCAUGAUCGUCGGGAAAGCAACCGCAGACUUGAGGACAUCGGCGAAUCCGAGGACUCCGGGAACAGCCGCCAAUCCCGGGGUUCCGUCUUCGACCGGAUCGGAGACAAAGCAAAGAAAAAGAAACAAAAAGAAAGUGAGGAAACCCGGCUAAAAAUCUUGGCUGAAAGGAAAGAACAGAUCCGAAAAGAGGAAGAGGAAAAACUUGAGCAAAAAAUCGCCCUCCGGAUCCAACUCGAAGAGGAGAAGUUGACAAAAGGGUCCCGGUCCAAGCGAUACCGGAAGGAAACAACACCCGAACUCAUCUCUGAUGACGAGGAUGAAAGACCAGGGCAAACCAACCUCAGAGACAUGAUCAAUGAGCUCAACAGGAAAAUUGGGAAUGAUGCCGGACUCGAAAUUGGAGGAACCCUGACUCCGUUCAGCCACUCCUUGGAAUCCAUUCCUCGGCAAAAGGGCAUGAAACACUACAACUUCGAAUCCUUCAAUGGACUAGGUGACCCGGAAGAACACCUGCACUAUUUUGAACAGAUAGCCCUGAUCUACUACUACAAUGAUCUGACCAAGUGUCGUUUCUUCGCAUCCACAUUCAAGGGGGGGCCCAGAGAUGGUUCAGCCGGAUCCCCUCCCGGAGCAUCGGGUCCUGGAAAGACUUCAGGGAAGCCUUCCUCAGAAGGUUCCGAGCAAACAAGACACAUGAACUUCAUAUGUGUCACCUGGAAACGGUUCGUCAGUAUGACAAUGAGGCACUCUCAGAUUACAUGAAACGUUUCCAGGAAGCAAUCAACAAAAUCUCCAACCUGGAUGAGCGUGAGGCUUUAAGCAUUUUCAGAAGAAACCUAGACCCGGAACAAAAUGAGAGAUAUGUGGUCGAGUUAAUCAACAAAGAACCCCAAAGCCUGGCGGCUGCCUAUGCCAUGGCUGCAAAAUUCAUCAAAGAGACCGACGUACUCCAAGCCAUGAGAAUGACCAGACAGGGAAGCUCAAGAGGGAAACAGGUCGAGGAUAGACCCAGAAAAGAAUAUCACCAGGACAAGAAAUUCAAGCCAGAUAGACAAACCAACUUCAUCCAGCAUUCAGGUUCUAAGAGAACCAGCCAACCAGGAUCCGGGUCCAGAAGUGACCCCGGACCAAACAAAGCAACCAGAGAGCCAAAACCAGAACCCGAUUGGACUCCGUUAAACAGAUCCCGGGAGGAUAUACUCAAAGAAAUCAGAGACAAACCCUUUUACUACCCACCAAAACCUAUGCAGACUCCUCCAGAGAGCAGACCUGCUAACCGACAUUGUGACUAUCAUGGCACCCACGGUCACAAAACAGAAAACUGCAUAUCCCUCAAAUAUUUCAUUGAAGAGCAAAUCAGCAAAGGCAACAUGGGGCAAUACAUAGCCCGGAACACAGCAAACAAGGGAGAGGGAUCGGGGAAACAAAAGAACAUUGUCAACGUGGUACUGGGCGGAUCCUGUUCCCCUCCUCCCAGCCCGGACUCCUGUCAAGAAGUCAUGUCCAUCCAAGCCUUCCCUGAACAAGUCAUUUCCUUCAGCAGCAAGGACUUCGAGGGUGUCACCCGGGGUCACGAUCAGGCCCUGGUGGUAACCUUGGACAUAGCCGAGAAUGAGGUCAGACGGAUCCUAGUCGACAACGGCUCUUCAGCAAACAUCUUGUUUAAACAUACCAUGGACCGAAUGCAACUAGGGAACAUCCGGAUGAACGACUACAGGGAGGACCCCUUAUACGGAUUCGGAAACAGAAUCGUCCCGGUCCUAGGAACUCUUUACCUCCCGGUUCGUUUUGGAACAGCCCCAACCCAGGUCGUCCAUAUGAUCAAAAUCUGUGUUACAGACACUCCUUCCUCUUACAAUGUGAUCAUUGGCCGCCCGGGUCUAAACAAAAUCGAAGCCAUCACUUCUGUCACGCACCUGAAGUUCAAAUUCCCAACUUCUUUCGGGGUAGGCGAAGUCAAAGGAGAUUCGGAAACAGCCGGGGUGUGUUACAGCCAAGCCUUGGUUAUGGCGGAGACCCAUAUGGACAACAAGAGAAAUGCUACCGUCUUCCAAAAACAGAGAAGUAACAAAAAACAUCGACCCUACCCAAGAACAAACCCUAAGGGUGAAGUCCAGGUCAUCGACCUAGACCCGGGCAGUCAUAGCCCGGGAGCAGCCAAUCCUGGUCCUGGACAAAGCAACCGGAAAGCAACCAUGAGCUCAGCUCAAGAUUUUGUGGAAAAGAACACUGACGCCCGGAUCCAGCAAAUGAUCUCGGCACAAGAACUAACCAAGGUCGAAGCUGCGGUCGAGACCGAGUCGGUCCUGAUCGAAAAAGACAACCCGACAAGGAAAGUCAAAAUUGGAAAAGGCCUGGAUACCGUUUUUAAAGAAGAACUCAUCCAACUACUUCGAAGCUACGCAGAUGUUUUCGCCUGGAGCCCGGACGACAUGCCCGGGUUGGAUGAGUCACUAGCAAUGCACAGCCUGGAUGUGGACCCCAAGAAGAAACCGGUCAAACAAAAACGAAGAAAUUUUGCACCGGAAAGGCAGAAGGCAAUAGAUGAGGAAGUCGGCAAAUUAAUGAAGGCAGAUAUCAUCUGCGAGAUCAAAUACCCGGAGUGGCUAGCUAACGUAGUCAUGGUAAAGAAAGCAAACGGGAAAUGGAGGAUGUGUGUUGACUACACGGAUCUGAAUGCAGCAUGCCCCAAGGACCCUUAUCCUCUACCAAGCAUAGACCAGCUUAUUGAUGCCACAUCAGGACACCUGAUGUUGCAGCAUGCCCCAAGGACCCUUAUCCUCUACCAAGCAUAGACCAGCUUAUUGAUGCCACGUCAGGACACCUGAUGUUAAGCUUUAUGGAUGCGUUCUCCGGGUACAACCAAGUUAAGAUGAACCCAGCAGACAUAGAAAAAACAGCCUUCAUAACCCACAGGGCGGUCUAUGCCUACAAACUAAUGCCUUUCGGGUUAAGGAACGCCGGGUCUACAUACCAGAAGGCAAUGAAUGAAAUUUUCAAAGACCAACUUGGAAGAAAUUUGGAAUGCUAUGUCGACGACAUCAUCUCUAAAUCAACAUCAGUCCCGGGUCACAUUUCAGAUCUCAGAGAAUGUUUUGAAAACAUGAGAAGGACUAAGCUAAAACUCAACCCGGACAAAUGCACCUUUGGGGUAGAAGCUGGAAAAUUUUUGGGCUUUAUGGUAAGCAACCGGGGUAUCGAAACCAACCCGGAGAAGAUUAAAGCAGUACAAGAGAUGCAACCACCUCGGACUCAGAGAGAAGUCCAAAAGCUAGCAGGGUCCUUAGCAGCACUUCGAAGGUUUGUCUCCAAACUCGCUGAAAGAUGUCUACCGUUCUUUGAAUUGUUAAAAGGGGCAAAAAAUCAGAAAUUAGUAGAAUGGAGCCCGGAUUGCCAAAGAGCCCUUGAUGAAAUCAAAGCAUAUCUGUCCAAACCCCCAAUCCUGACAAAAUCCUUACCCGGAGAACCUCUCUACCUAUACCUGUCUGCCGGUCCCUUGGCCGUCGGGGCAGCCUUGAUCCGGGAGGAAGCCGGGCAACAGAAGCCUGUCUACUAUGUCAGCCAAGUCCUCAAAGAUGCGGAGACCAGAUACCCCAACUUAGAAAAAUUUGCAUUUGCACUGAUCACCGCAUCCAGGAAACUCAGACACUACUUUCAAGGAAGAGAGAUCAGGAUUGUCACAGACCAACCGUUAAGGAAAAUCAUCCACAAGCCAGACAUCUCCGGGAGGCUGGUGAACUGGGCAAUCGAACUUAGCCAGUUCAGCCUAACAUUCCUACCCCGGACAGCAAUCAAAGUCCAGGUCCUGGCAGACUUCGUGGUGGAAUGCAACUUCCCUGAAAACCAGACAACUCCCAUGGAAACUGAACCAGAAGCCCCGGUACAAUCUAACCCGGGGUCUUGGAUGCUCCAUGUCGACGGUUCCUCAACAACCGAAAGGUCAGGAGCCGGGCUAAUCCUGAAGAGCCCGGAUGGGUUCACCAUCAAAACAGCAAUCUCCUUCGGUUUCGCAGCAACCAACAACCAAGCGGAAUACGAAGCCCUUCUAGCAGGGUUAAAGUUAGUCCGGACCCUGUCUAUCCGAAAUCUCACCAUCUACAGUGAUUCCCAGAUCGUGGUCAGGCAGACCAAUGGAGAAUACCUUGCCAAAGACCCGAUCUUGACCAAGUAUCAAGCCUUGGUAAAAAGCUAUCUCACUCUGAUCCCCGGGUGCAAGAUCUUGCAAGUCAACAGGGAAGAAAAUGCUGAAGCGGACAACCUCUCCAGGUUAGUCCAAAAUUCAGCAGNAUUAGUCCGGACCCUGUNNNNNNNNNNNNNNNNNNNNNNNNNNNNNNNNNNNNNNNNNNNNNNNNNNNNNNNNNNNNNNNNNNNNNNNNNNNNNNNNNNNNNNNNNNNNNNNNNNNNNNNNNNNNNNNNNNNNNNNNNNNNNNNNNNNNNNNNNNNNNNNNNNNNNNNNNNNNNNNNNNNNNAACCCUACCUGGAUGACUNNNNNNNNNNNNNNNNNNNNNNNNNNNNNNNNNNNNNNNNNNNNNNNNNNNNNNNNNNNNNNNNNNNNNNNNNNNNNNNNNNNNNNNNNNNNNNNNNNNNNNNNNNNNNNNNNNNNNNNNNNNNNNNNNNNNNNNNNNNNNNNNNNNNNNNNNNNNNNNNNNNNNNNNNNNNNNNNNNNNNNNNNNNNNNNNNNNNNNNNNNNNNNNNNNNNNNNNNNNNNNNNNNNNNNNNNNNNNNNNNNNNNNNNNNNNNNNNNNNNNNNNNNNNNNNNNNNNNNNNNNNNNNNNNNNNNNNNNNNNNNNNNNNNNNNNNNNNNNNNNNNNNNNNNNNNNNNNNNNNNNNNNNNNNNNNNNNNNNNNNNNNAAUCCCUUUUGCUGUUUGGGGGAUAGACAUCAUGGGACCCUUUCCCCGGGCCAAAGGAGACCUUAGGUACUUGCUAGUCUCCAUCGACUAUAUGACCAAGUGGGUCGAAGCUAAAGCAAUGCGGACAAUCAAUCAACAAGAUGUCAUCCGGUUCAUGGAUAACAUUCUAAUGAGAUUCGGGCUACCAAGGGUCCUGGUCUCAGACAACGGACCCCAGUUCAUAGGUUCGGACUUUGAAAGCUACCUGGCUGAAAGAGGCAUCAAGCACAAGAAGUCCUCAGUCGCCUAUCCUCAAGGAAAUGGCCAGGUAGAGGUCACCAACCGGUACCUCCUGAGAGGAAUUGAAAAAAGGCUAGAAGAAAGCAAGAGCAAGUGGCCAGAAGAACUACCUCAUGUCCUCUGGUCAUACCGAACUAGUCCUCGGACAAGCACCGGAGAAACCCCCUUCAAAUUGGCCUAUGGAACGGAGGCAAUGCUCCCAAUCGAAGUCGGGUCACCUUCACACAGAGCGAUCAACUUUGAUGAAAUUGCAAAUGAAGAAGGACUCCGGGUCAACCUGGACUUGGUAGAUGAGGUCCGAGACCAGGCAAUCGCAAGAAUGGAAAAGUACAAAGAGAAGACCCGGGAUCAUUUCAGCAAAAAAUCCCGGGUUAGGAAUUUUCAAACAGGAGACCUGGUCCUACGAGACACCGAAGCCUCUGAUCCAACCAACACUGGCAAGCUGAUGCCUAAGUGGGAAGGCCCUUACAAAGUCAAAGAAGUCCUAAGGCCGGGCACCUACAAAUUGGAGCAUAUGGACGGGUCAGAAGUAUCCAACACCUGGCAUGGUCUUAGGUUGAGGAAGUUCUAUCAGUAAAAUCAACGAGAAGGAAGGAUCCUAGAAGACAGCCAUAUAUCCCUAAAAAGCAAUCAUGUACUUUUGAUCAUUAUCAAAGCUGUGUAAUCGUCUGAAUAUCAAUGAAGUCUUUUGCUACUAAUGAAUCUAUAUUGUUAUUUACUUAGAAAAUUUCUAAGGCAACCAAAAACAUAUUAAAGCAAUCACCCCGGGAAAGAUCUACCCGGGUCCAUCCAUUUCAUUUACUUGGAAAAAAUUCUAAGUCCAACAUAUUAAAGCAAUCAACCCGGGUAAGCAUUGCCCGGGCCCAUCUAUUUUAUUUACUUAGAAAAAUUUUCUAAGUGCAAACACAUAUAAAGCAAUCAACCCGGGUAAGCAUUGCCCGGGCCCAUCUAUUUUAUUUACUUGGAAAAAUUUCUAAGUGCAAACAUGUAUAAAGCAAACCAACCCGGGUAAACAUUGCCCGGGUCCACCUAUCUUAUUUGCUUGGAAAAAUUUCUAAGUACAAACAUGUAUAAAGCAAUCAACCCGGGUAAGCAUUGCCCGGGCCCAUCUAUUUUAUUUCCUUAGAAAAAUUUCUGAGUGCAAACAUGUAUAAAGCAAUCCAACCCGGGUAAGCAUUGCCCGGGCCCAUCUAUUUUAUUUUUUUAGACCCGGGUAAUCAUUGCCCGGGUCCAUCUAUUUUAUUUACUUAGAAAAAUAUUCCAAGUGCAAACACAUAUAAAGCAAUCAACCCGGGUCAGCAUUGCCCGGGCCCAACUAUUUUAUUUACUUAGAAAAAUAUUCUAAGUGCAAACACAUAUAAAGCAAUCAACCCGGGUAAGCAUUGCCCGGGUCCAUCUAUUUUAUUUACUUCGAAAAAUUUCUAAGUGCAAACACAUAUAAAGCAAUCAACCCGGGUAAGCAUUGCCCGGGCCCAUCUAUCUUAUUUACUUAGAAAAAUAUUCUAAGUGCAAAAUUAUUCUCAAGCAGUCAACCUGGGCAAGAAAUACGCUAAGCAAACAAAAACAAUCGCGAAUAAAAGAUACAAGGAGAUAUCUGACGAAAGGCAACAAAAAUAUCCAUAAACCCGGAUCUACAUAGACCCCGGGCAAACAUCUAAAUCCAAGAACAAGCAAGUUUAGAAUUACAGAAGAUUGUUUCUCAAGUGAUCAAAAGACUAAGGAUAAAACAACUAAGUAGCAGGGGGAAGGUUAUUUGUCUGGAGAGCCGCAUCAACGGGAGCAACCGGGUUAGCUGGAGCGAUGAAGCUCGGAGAAGGACCCUCAAAGGGCUCGGGUUCACCCUUGCCGGCAGAAGCAUCAUCCCUAGCCUGGAUAUAAAGAUUGAUGAAGCUGUUCAAAUCGGCCACCGGGUCCGUUUUAAUGUGCCUCUCGGCAACAUUCCAGCAUCGGACAACCUCCGCAGCGGCAGCAUUGGCCAGGGCACCCUUAUACUCUUCAGACUCCUUGAAAUCAGCAAUCACAACUUCUGGUUCCUUUCGGUCCUCGAGUUGUUUCUUCAGCUUCCCCACAUCCUCCUCGAGUCCGGCCACCCUCUUCUCAGAAUCACCCGCCCGGGUCUCAGCCUCCUCCAGUUUCCGCUUCCACUCAGCUUCCAGUCGGGUUUCGGCCUCCUUCACCCGCUUCUCCAACUCGGACUCCAACUUCUCCUUAGCCGACCUCUCCAGGGCCAAGUCCGACUCAGCUUUCCGGGCUCUCGUCCCAAAAGUCUCAGCAGUGUCCCUUUCCGACUUUAUCAAGUUGAAAGCAAUGGUAUUAAACCCGGCUAGACGAGACCCCAGCUGCAAACACCGGAUUCACAGGAUCAGAAACAUACAUAAGAAAGAGCAUACAAAAGACAACACAAAAGUGAAGACAUACUCACCUGACCCCAAAGACUCCCUAGUUCCUUGAAAGUGCUCACCAUCCCGGAAUCAUCCAUCCUAACCCAGUCUUCCUCGGUCGGAAUCUCCGACAUUAUCUUAAUUAUUUCCCGGGCAGAGUACUUCCCGGCACCAAGGGGAACCCGGGAACCUUCCCCGUCAUCAUCUUCAUCAUCAGAAUCCGAGUCAGAAUCCAGCAAAACCCCUUUUCCCCGGCCAACUUUGGGAACUUUAGCAGGGGCCUUCUGCGCCGAGACCUGUUUCCUCUUCCUCCCCCGGGUCACCAACUCUUGGCUGCCAGCUUCCACAACCUCCUCAGUCUCUCCCAAGGCAAUUUUCUCCAUUGCAGCGCUGGAUUCACCGCCGGUUGCCUCUUGCCUAGAAGACCCGGAUUCAUCAUUCUUCCCAGCUCCGGUCUUAGGCUUAGGAGUAGGCUUGGGGAUCGAAUGAAUUCCCCCCAGGUUCCUCAAAGCAGCAGCAAAAUGUUCGUUAGCCAUACUCUUCCACAGAUUUUUAUCAAAAUAUGGCAAACCUGCAGACAGACAAUGACCGGGUUAGAAAGCAUAGCAGAUAAGGUAACACAUAUACAUAAGCAACAGACAACCUGAGUUACUUAACAGUUCCGAAAAGCGAAAAAGGGCAAGAAAAAUACAAGUACACAAAGCAUAUGAAGACGACCCGAGUAAGAGGAUUACCCGAGCUACUUAACAAUCCUAGGAAACAAAAGAAGAAAACAAGUAUGGAGGGACUCUAACUAAACAGUCUGGAUUGUACUUACAUCCCCAUUCGUGCAAUUUAUCAAAUUGCAUGAAAGUAUCCCGGGUCAACUGCUGCCCGAGACACCCACAGAACUCCCUAAGCUGAUCCCGGAACUUCCCGGAUGCACCCGGGGCGUCGGAAUUAGUCCUGACUAAUUAAUCAUCCGUAACAAGAUAUGGCAUAUAGUGGAUAUCCAAACCUUUCAACAUUAACACUUCACGAUUCCAAUUCUUCAAAGAAGACUGGUGCAUCACCGGUUUCAGGAACCCGGGUCCAAAACCGCAUUCUUUAGACCGGAAACGAAGCUCAUACAGUGGUUUCUCCCCGGACUUCUUGAACUGGAAGAGAAUGUGGAAAAGUUUGAACGUAGGUUGAUACCCCAUCUUGUUACAAGCACACAAAAACCAGGUCAUCAACUUAAUGGCGUUCGGAGUGAUCUGCAUCGGGGAACAUUUAUACUCGUACUUACAGAGGUGCCUGAAAAAUAAGUGCCACCUCGGGUUCCACCCGGACCUCAAAUGCUCCAUCCACACCGGGAUGAAUCCGUCGGCGGGACGGUGGAAAAUCUUCUCCCCGGGCUCAGGGAACCUCCACUCAACCGCGUCCGGGAGCUGGAAGGCAACCCGGAUCAACCGAUCCUGAGCUUCCCACGGCAACUCCCUAAAGGAACUCUUCACGGCAUAAGGAGGCCGGGAAACAGCAUACUCCUUAAACCGCUCGUCAAACUCCUCCUUUUUAUAAGGGCCUAGAGGACCAUCCGGGUGCUUAAACUUGUAAAAAGAAGCUAUGCCCCGGUAGAAUUCCCUCUCAUCGGCCAGUGGCGCUUUGGCAAUAAAAUAAGACUUUGUGUCCAUCCACAUACCCUCCGGGGUCAUGAUCACUUGCUUCCCCUCGGCCUUGGCCACCUUUUGAAACUCCGACACGACCCUGGAUGCAGCUAUCUCCCUCUCGGCCAUCUUUUCACGAGCACGAUCUGCUAGUGAUUGACGCUCGUCCGUGUCACUAUCACUUGAAUACUGUCCGGGCACACCGGAAAAGGCAAUAAUAUCUCUCUUGGCCCUCUUAUGGAUCCGGACCAUAGACCUAAAGGAAAACGAGAGCCCGGGUCAGUUCAAAAUUCAACCAAUUUUAUUACAAAUUUUAUAUAGGUCCGGAUCCUGCCUAAGUCUACGUGAAAAGCAACAAGUCAAAGAACUACUAGAAUACAACCACAGCCACCCGGACUCACCAAGAGAACCUACCCGGGUCCCGUUCUCAUAUCUACAAGGAGAGAAGACUCCUAGUCACUGAAACGCUACCCGAGUCCCGAGCCUACAACCGCACUAUCAUGGAAAAGUUUACAAGUACCAAGAAACAACAAGACCUCUACCCGGGUACUCCCCCCCAUCCACAUAAAAACCUUCAUGCCACCUACCCAACCCGGGCAAGAAAUCCCUACCCGGGUUCAGUCAAAACCCCAAGAAUCCCAACAGCCGCAAACAGUUUCUAAAUCAUUUCAAACCAAAAUCAUAGAUCAAACUUCAAACCCUAACCGCUAUACACAUAUACAUACAUAUAUCCCGCCAAGAACACAAAACCAAAAUCCAGAAGCUAAGAACUCCAAAAACCAAGCCCAAGUUCACAGCAACACCCAAACUCGAACCACAAAACCCAAGAGACACCAUAAAACCCCAAAAUCAAACCACCCACCAAGCGUGUGAUCUAAUCUACCGAAAAAAACGAAACACCAAAACGAAGAAUGCAAAGAAGCACGGCAAGUGUAAGCACGAAAUCAACGAAGUACGGACGAAGAAAACACGAGAGUACAUACAACAGCUCCGAAAUGCAAAAAAAAGUAGAGAAGGGAAAAGAGAGCGGAAAGGGGACUUACCGUGAUAACCAGCGACGGAGCAAAAACUGCGAUGACAAUGAUCUCUGAAACUCCAGCGAAGCUCUUCGAAAAACAAACACACGAAUGGUGGCAAAAGCACAAAGAAGAACUAUGAAGAAAAAGAAAGGGAACUCAAAGUAAAAAUGAAAAAAAGAAGAGUAAGGGGUUAGACCCCUAUAUAUAGCAGUCACUUCACUAUCCACGUGGCACCCCUCUAUUGGACGAGCAACAGUUAUUACAACAGUAAUUAUUAUCGCCCCUCAAAAGGCGCGAUAACACGAUUUUCGAAAAGGGACAACUGUGAAGUCCCUUCGAAUUACAAAGGACUCCAAACGGUUCAAAUGCUGCGGACCCGGGCACCUCUUGUCUAAUCGGACCCGGGCAGGAAAGCAAAAGCGAAACAACCUCACUUCUCACCCGGACUCACUCGGGCAGGAAAGUAAAAGCAAACAAUACCACAUCUCACCACCCUUACCCGGGUAGGGCUGCAGAAAUCAACCAACCUCUUACCUGAUCCUACUCGGGCAGAUGAGCAAUAGCAAACAAUCUCACCCCUACCCAAAGAGUUACCCGAGCAGGGGGGCAGAAGUGAAAGACCCAAACCCCUACCCGGGUCGCCCUGGACUGGGAAAGACGAAAAUUUUCACUUGAUAUCCGGAUCAAACGGAAUACUAUACUCCCUCACAUAGAAAAUCUAUAUAAGGGAGUGGGGGGCAAAUGAUAGGGUAUAACCCGGCUAAGCAACACCCGGGUCCUUUAGAGGAGCCCCACCCCGGGUAGCCACCAACACCACAGGGCAUCCCCAGCCUUGACAGGUGAUACAACCCGGAUAUGAUUGCUUACUCGGGUACAUGAAACUUACUACUCACCCGGAUACACAUGUACCAGCCGACACCUGCUGCACAAAGCACAGACUGACACAAUAAAGACAAACAUAACGGUCAACUACUGGCGAUAGGGACAAGCCAGGGAACAUUCCAAAAUACUACUUCUACGCUGACACCUGGACACGUGUAGGGGACCAAACCCCAACACGUGUAGGACCAGGAUCCAGGUACGCACCCUUGAACCCUAAUCCUUGGCCUAUAAAUAGACCAAUGAUCAAGAGUUUAAGGGUUAACUCUCUCUUCACACUCAUUUUACUCACACACUUGCACUCAGCACAUAUUCAAACACUCCAAGCCACCAACCACCAGCAACCACCACACACCACCUUCACCCACCACAUAUAGAUAACACACUUUCUCUAAUCUUUAUCCUUCCGAAACCUACGCACCCUUGAACCCUAAUCCUUGGCCUAUAAAUAGACCAAUGAUCAAGAGUUUAAGGGUUAACUCUCUCUUCACACUCAUUUUACUCACACACUUGCACUCAGCACAUAUUCAAACACUCCAAGCCACCAACCACCAGCAACCACCACACACCACCUUCACCCACCACAUAUAGAUAACACACUUUCUCUAAUCUUUAUCCUUCCGAAACCUACGCUUACUCUCACGCCGGAGGCGCCGCGGGGUCAAAACCCCCCUCCGGUGUUGUUUUGUAGGCUCCCAUCCAGCAGCUACACCGCGGAAUCACCAGCCACGGCGGAGGAAGGACCGGGAUCGGAGAUUGGCGUUAUCAGGGCUGGUGAUUUUGAUGCUGAUAUGUUGUGUUAAACGUUGCUGUUGUGGUGGAGGAAGAGCUGUGAGGAUGAUGAAGGCUCCUGGAAGGAACAUUAGAAUGCCAAGAAAUGUGUUUGAGAGGAACCCGGCAGGUUAUUUUCAGAAUCUGCGUUCCGGGAACUCUGUUGGUAAUCUUUGCUAGGUUAUGGAUCUGAGGAUGAAUCUUUUGUGUUGGUGUUCUUUCUUGUUUGAAUAAAUGUUGUGUUUCUAAAUCAUCUUUGUAAGAUAUAUGAUAUGAACC
rnacentral:lncRNA from 1 species